rnacentral:lncRNA from 1 species
UUUUUUUUUUCGGAUUUUAGUUGAUCUGCUUUGCCUUCUACAAAUUAUCUGCUGUAUUUUCAGGUCCCUGGUUGAAGCAUCAUGGCUUCCAAACGUAUUUUGAAGGAACUUAAGGAUUUGCAGAAAGAUCCACCUACUUCUUGCAGUGCAGGUUUGUCUCAGAUGAUUAAUUUCUUUGGAGUCGUUCUUGAUUGUUUUAGAUUUCAGUUACCAGUGCUUAUUCUCAACGAUAUUUCACUACUCAGGGUGUUGCGACGAUUUAGCCCAUGCAUAAUCUAGUUAACUUUGUAUAGCAUCUACCUUGUUCUACUGGUACUACCAUCUUAGCCUCGCUCAAUGACUCGGGUGGUUGUUAUUGCGGAUUGGGGGUUUGCGUGGGAGAUAAUAGCUUCGAGACAUAGUGCUCUCUCUCUGGAAAAGAAAUUUAAGGGGAAACAAAAAGGAAAAAAAAGGAAAGAAGAAGCUUGAGUUCUGAUUGCUUUCUCUUCAUGCUUUCAUUUUCCUUUCCUUGUGGCUAAUUGUUUGAUGAUGUAUUGCGACUUUUCAUUAUUUUUUGCUAGUCACCAUUUGUUAUUUAUGGUUGUUUUCCCCAUUGCUGCAUCUGCUCCCUUAUUUGAGUUGCUAUUGCUCCUUUAUCCAUUAUAUCUGGCAAAUGGCUUUUUCGAUUUUACAAUCAUGAUGGAUUUUUCUUGAAAAUUUUGGAAGUACUAUUCAUUCAAAAUGUAUCUGAUCAAAUAGGAACAUGUGCAGUAAAACAUUGUAUGCUUUUAGCUCAGCUUUUUUGUUCUUUUGACUUGAUUGUGUCCUAUGAUUGGUUUUUCAGUUCUUCUUCUUCAUCCUAUUUUAUUUGUAUCUCAUGUAUUAUUUAGCAUAGUUUUGAGUAAACCAACCUCUGGAUUCAUGAUUAAUUGUAACAGGUCCUGUAGCUGAAGACAUGUUCCACUGGCAGGCAACAAUCAUGGGCCCAUCUGAUAGCCCAUAUGCUGGAGGCGUAUUUCUAGUUACUAUCCAUUUUCCUCCUGAUUAUCCAUUCAAGCCUCCAAAGGUAACUUAUGGGACUUGAGAUGUUUCUAGCCGUGUGCCUGUGAGUAGGGUUGGUAGGUGGAGGGAGGUGUGUUUAAAUAUAUGAGGCUUUUGUUUUGUGUUUUAUAUACUUAUUUGGAGCGAUAAUAUUUCUGUUCUCAGGUUGCAUUCAGGACAAAGGUCUUUCACCCGAACAUAAAUAGUAAUGGAAGCAUUUGUCUUGAUAUCCUCAAAGAACAGUGGAGCCCUGCUCUUACCAUUUCUAAGGUUUGAUUUGGAUCCAUGACUUUAGGCUGGUAAUUGUACAGCUUUAUAGGCGAGUGUCAAUAGUAAAUCAACAAUGGAAAAGGAGAACUUCAUCAUAUAAAAUUCAUGCUAAUAUUGUUGCAAUAGUUUAAGAAUAUGGUGAAACUUGCAUUAUUUUGGCAAAUUUAGUGCAACUGCUUUUGGUUAUUAGGCUGCAAAGCAUUAGUGUUACCUUAAAGUUUUUUUUGAAUUAUUUUGCCUUGGAUUUGUUUUUUUUCCCCCCUACAACUAUGAUUUGGUUAAGAGCUCAGACCUCAGGAUAUGAAAAUAUGAUUGCACGAGUUAUAAUCUUUAUCAUCUCUCCUUGAUCCGUGUCAAUUUUUCCAGUUCUCAAAAUUUUUGAAUGCCAUUGUAUGUAAAAUGCUCAAUGAACCUUAGCUGAAUCUGCAUGUCAAACUCCAAGAAGAAGAGAGAUGAGAGGGUUGUGCUGAUACUGAAAUGGGAUUCUAGCUUUGGACUUCUGAAAUUUUCUUCUGGAUAAUUUUCACUUCCAUGCAGCAGAGAAAUUAGGAAUUAUUACUCUAGCUAUGUAACCAUACUUGCCUUAUCAGGUACUGCUCUCCAUUUGCUCAUUGCUGACUGAUCCAAAUCCUGAUGACCCUCUUGUACCGGAGAUUGCCCAUAUGUAUAAGACUGAUCGAGCUAAGUAUGAAGCAACUGCACGCAGCUGGACACAGAAGUAUGCCAUGGGAUGAUAAAUAUUCAGAUACUGUAUAAAUGGGUUGUGUCUAUUUGUAGAAUGUGUUAAAUCCGUUUUAACUUUUGGACUUACUUAUUUGAGGGGGCCGUUUAGGGAAUGAACUUUUCCUCGGUGGAACUGAAACUAUAGUUUGAAGAUUGGCUGGAAAAUAACUGUAUGGUCAGGAUGUUUUGAUGUAGACAAUGUCUGUUGUUUUAAGCUAUUAUUUUCUCUGGUGUUAAAGCUCUUUUUUCACUUGGUGAUUUUGAUCCGAUAGUAAUGUGGCUCUUAUCGUGGGCCUCUGUUUCUCACAUAUGUGCCAUGCCAUAAAGUUUGGACCAUUGUUUUAGCCUCCAAAACACCAUUCGCUUUGAUGAGAGUAUCCAGGCGCUGGUCUCUAUAGCGGACAUCAAUUUUCCUCAGCCGAUGCUGGUACGUAUCUGCUAAUGCUUGAUUUGAGAAAUUUCUUUAAACAAUAUGCACCAUAUCAUAUGUUGGAGUUAAAAUAUAAAUGUAUGUAAUGGAGUUAAAAUAUAAAUGUAUGUAUUAUUUUAGAUGAUAGGUUAAUACUAUUUUUUGCCUACAAAUUUUGGAAUUAUCUAAUUAUUUCAAUAUAAUAUAAUAACACUCAUAAAGCGAUAGUAUAUAAUAAAAAAAAAGCUUGAUGUAUCAAAUCUUUCCAUAAAAAUACGGAUCAAUGGAUCAUUUAAGUAAUUGUUUUUAUUGUGUUAUCUUUUUAAACUUUUUACUAAAAUAAUAUGUAAAAUUUGAAAUUUAAAUUGUAAAUCCUCUUUCAUAGUUAAAUAUUACAAGUUUCAAAAAGAUUUUAUUUCUUAUAUAUAUAUUUUUAAAUUUUUUAUAUGUCCAUUUACAUAAAAAAGUUUUAAAAUUUUUGCUAUUAUAUAAUUUAAGUUAAAAUUUUAAAAAUUGAAAAAAUUAUUUAAAUUUAAAAAUUUUAUUAUAAUUAUAUCUAAAUUUUAAAUUUCAAUUAAAAAAAAAGUGUGUUUUACUCACAUGAAAAUAUGAUAUAAAUUAUUUUAUUAUAUUCAUAUUAUAUAGAUAAAUUUCAUUAUUAUACUCAUAUAUUAUAUAGAUAAAUUCUAUUAGUAUAAAAAAUCUAAAAUUUUUUUAUUAUUUUAUAAUUUAAUUUAAAUUUUAAAAUUUAGUGUAAUUUAAUUGAGAAUUUCUAAAUCUAUUGUUUUUUGUCUCUGUUUGGCCUGAUGCAAUAAAUUAUAACUUUAAUUUUUUAUGUUUACCAUUAAUUUUAACAGAAAUCACAAUAGAUUUUAUAUUUCUUAAUUUCUUAAUUUUUUAAAUAUUUUGCCAAGUGUUGAUCAUAAAAAAAAAAAUCUAUUCAUUAUAAAAAAUCAUGUCAUUGUAAUAAAAAGUGUAAAUUAUAGUCUUAUUGUUUAUAGUGUUAUUAAUAUUUUAUUACUGUUCAAUAAUAUAAAUUAAUAUUUAAAGAUACAAGUAUAUACGUUAUAUUAAUAGCAAAUAUUAUUAAAUCAAAAAAAUUAAAAGAACCAUAAAAGAGUUUAUACGCUUAACAUAUGGGAAAGAAUUAUGAUAAUAAAUUUUUAGAAAUUUAAUAAUAAUAAAAAAAAAUUUAAAAAUUUUAAAUUGAAUUAUAUCAAUUUUAUUUUAAUAGUAUUUAACUGGAUAAUAUAUUAAUAUAAUAAAAUAAUUUACAUCAGUGAACUCUGGUUAAAAUUUUUAAAUUUAAAUAUAAUUAUAAUAAAAUUUAUAAUUUUAUUAAUUUUAUUUUAAAUAAAAAUUAGAAAUUGAGAGUAGAAUAUGAGACUUAUCAUAUUUACUUAAAUGGAUUUACUAUCAAAUUAAAUUUGUGAGUCCAAUUUUAUUAAUUUUUAAAUUUUAAAUUAAAUUAUAAAAUAAAAAAAUAUUAAAAUUUUAUAUAAAUAGCCCAUUUUAUAUAUAAUUAACUUUUUUAUCUAUGUUAAUUUUAAAAAUAUAAAUAUAAAAUUUAGAUUACCCGAUCUGAUUUGAAUUGGACUAAUCGAUUAAAUUAAAUCAACUAAUUGAAUUAGACCAAUUGAUUAAAUUGAAUUAAUAUCUUGAAUUAAACCGAUUGAUCGCAUAAUAUUAUUUACUAAAUCAGUAAAUUAAAUUGAUAUAAUAUUUAAAAUCGGACUGAUAAAUCAUAUUGAUUUAAAAUAUUAAAUUAUAUCAAUCAAUAAGAACAAAACGAUAUUUAAAAUUAGAUCAGCCUAUCAAGAGUGAUUAUAUUGAUUAUUUGAUCGAGUCUAAUUUAUAAUAAAAUGGCUAGAAAUAUUAUAUAUUAUAUGCUGCAUAAGAGACUUAACAUAUAAUUACAUAAUAUAAAAAAUUUAAACUAAAUUAAUUUUAUAAACUAUAUAUUAUAUGUGAGACUUAACUCAUCAUUUAUUUUUGUACCAAAUAUUUUAAAUUAAAUUAACUCUAUAUAUUAUAGAAUGAAAUUACUCGCAUGUACUGAAUGUGAAGCUUAAUAUAUGACUUAUUUUCUAUGUCAUAUAUAAAUUAAAUUAUAUGAUAUGUACUGUAAUAUAUAGAUGAUGUUUAAUCAAUAUUUUUUUACCAAUUAAAAUUUUUGUUCAUAUUUAUUUAUGAAAAUGCUUGAAAUUUACAUUAUUUUGAAAUGUUUGAUGCAUCUUCCUCAAUUCUUUAAGACAGUUAUGUGGAUUUAUAGAGAAAUUGAAAAAAGUAAUAUUGUAAUGCAAGUUUAUUUUAAUUUUAAUUAAAUUUAAUUGUAUGUAGAGAAUAUAAAAUAAUUAUAAUUUUAAUUCAAUUAAAUUAUAUAUGAAGUAAAUAAGAUGAUAUUGUUUUUAAUUUAAUUUAAUCAUAAUAUAUGUAAUAUGAAUUAAUUUUAAUUUAAUUAACCCAGUUUAUGAUUUAUAUAAAGUGAUUUCAAUUUAAUUUAUUUAUUUUAUAAUUAAUAUAAUAUUAAUUAAUUUUAAUUUAAAUUAACUCAUAUAUAGUGAAAAUAUUAUAAAUUGAUUUUAAUUAAUUUGAUUGACUCAUAUGGAUAUAAGAUGAUUUUAAUUUUAAUUUAAUUGAAUUAUUUUAUAAUAAAAUUAUAAUUAAAUUUAUAAUAUAAUAAAUAUAUAAUUUCAUUUAUAUUAUAUUAUAUACACUAAAUAUAUUAUAUAAACAAUUAUUUUUACAUUAUACAGAAAAAUAAUUAUUUUUUAAUUAUUUCUUAUGUUUUAAAAAUGAAAUUUUGACUGUAAAAUUAUAUGGAUAAAAUAACAUUUUAUAUUAAUGAAUCCUUUUGAUCUAUGUUAAAUGUGAAUUUAUUCGGUUACUCAAUUAUGAUUUUAAAUAAAAUAUAAAUUUUUAAUGAAAAUUAAUUAUUUUCCAUUAAAAAAAAUAAUUUUUUUCCUUCAAUUUAAAUAAUUUUGCUGAUUUGUUUUUAUUAGUGUAUAUCUAUAUUGUUAUUUGUAUUCAUAUAAUAACGUCUACAUAAUCGGAAACAGUAGUGGAACAGAUAAGCCCAACAAAUUAAAAUAAGAAAUAAAAAAUUUGGAAAUUGGACAGGACAACUGCUACAUAACCAAUUUCAAUGAAAAAAAGCAAACCCUCUGGCCUCCGCGGCUCAUUUUCUGCAAAAAAGAGGGAAGAAAGGUGCGAGAUCAGUCAGGGAGUGGGAAAUCAGCGGUUCUCGAACUGAAAGUGAGGGGCGUGGCUGUGGAUCUGCUUCAAAGCCGUUUCCCCUUUUUACCUCACUCGUCGCCGUCCGAUAGCAUUUCCCCUUCAAAACCAGAGUUUUUCAUAGUCAGGUGCUCACUUUUUCUCUACUCUCUUUUGUCUUUUGUAUUUGCUUUCUGUUAUUCUCCGUUUGUAGGAUUCUGAGUGUUUGCUCUUAUCUAGUCUCAGAUUUUUUUUUUUUUGCGGGAUUUUAGUUGAUCUGCUUUGCCUUAUACAAAUUAUGUGCUGUGUUUUCAGGUCCCUGGUUGAACCAUCAUGGCUUCCAAGCGUAUUUUGAAGGAACUUAAGGAUUUGCAGAAAGAUCCACCUACUUCUUGCAGUGCAGGUUUGUGUCAGAUGAUUCAUUUCUUAUUGCUGUCGUUAUUGAUUGUUUUAGAUUUCAGUUACCGGUGCUUAUUCUCAACGAUAUUUCAUUACUGAGGGUGUUGCGACGAUUUAGCCCAUGCAUAGUCUAGUUAAAUUUGUAUUGCGUCUAACUUGUUCUACACUUAGCCUGGCUCUGUGACUCGGGUGGUUGUUAUUGGGGAUUGGGAAUUUGCGUGGGAGAUUAUAGCUUCGAGACAUAGUGCUCCCUCUUUGGAAAAGGAAUGUGGGGAAAAAAAAGAAGCUUGAGUUUUGAUUGCUUUCUCUUCAUGCUUUCAUUUUCCUUUGUUAUUAUUUUCCUUUUCUCCUGGCUAAUUGUUUGAUGAUGUAUUGCGACUUUUCAUUUUUUUUUUCUAGUCACUAUUUGUUCUUUAUGGUUGUUUUUAUUGUUCCUUUAUCCGUUAUGUUUGCCAAAUGGCUUUUUUGGGUUUACAAUCAUGAUGGAGUCUUGAAAAGUUCGGAAGUACUAUUCAUUCAAAAUGUACAUAUCUGAUCAAAUAGGAACAUGUGCAGUAAAACAUUAUAUGCUUUUAGCUCAAUUCUUUUUGUUCUUUUGACUUGAUUCUAUCCUGCGAUUGGUUUUUCAGUUCUCCCGCUUCAUCCUAUCUUAUUCUUAUCUCAUAUUUGGUUUAGGAGUUGGAAAAUUAUUCCAACUUUACAAGUGGCUAAUAUAAUUUCAUGGGGUUGCUGGGUGGGACUGGGACCUUGAAUUGUCCUUCCUUGUAUAAUUUGGGUAGGGAUGAGGAUUUUCCACCUAUCCAUCCUCUUUUCAUCCGAUUCAAUAUGUAUAUUACACUGGCUUAUAACUUUAUUUUAGCAUAGUUUUGAGUAAACCAACCUAUGGAUUCAUGAUUAAUUGUAACAGGUCCUGUAGCUGAAGACAUGUUCCACUGGCAGGCAACAAUUAUGGGACCAUCUGAUAGCCCAUAUGCUGGAGGUGUAUUUCUAGUUACUAUCCAUUUUCCACCUGAUUAUCCAUUCAAGCCUCCAAAGGUAACUUUUAUGACUUAGAAAUGUUUCUAUCCAUGUGCCUGAGAGUAGGGUUGGUAGGUUGAUGGAAAUGUGCGCAAAUGUACGAGGCUUUUGUUUUGUGUUUUAUGAAUUUAUUUUGAGGGAUAAUGUUUCUGUUUUCAGGUUGCGUUCAGGACAAAGGUCUUUCACCCAAACAUAAACAGUAAUGGAAGCAUUUGUCUUGAUAUCCUCAAAGAACAGUGGAGCCCUGCUCUUACCAUUUCUAAGGUUUGAUUUAGAUCCAUGACUUUAGGCUGGUAAUUGUACAGCUUUGUAAGCGAGUAUCAAUGGUAAAUCAACAAUGGAAAAGGAAAAGGAGAACUGUCAUCAUAUAAAUUUCGACCUUCUGAGGCCUCUGCCCCACUUCUUAGUGGUGUUUCCCACCUCUUAUCUCUUGUGGCAGCUGUACUCAGAGUGGAGGGAUCAAUCCCUCCUGAACUUGAGAUUCUGGAAUCUUGAGUCUGAGCAUCCUCCUAAGAAUCUCCCAUGCCUUCCUCUAGCACUCUGAUUCCCAAACUGGUAUCCCUUCUCUGAACCUCCAUCUCUACUUCCCUCAUACUAGCUGACAUCCUUCUUGGAGCCAUUCCUUCUCUGCUCACAUCAAAAGACCUUCCAGGGUCCCUUGAUGUUCCCCAUUUGCUGACUCCCCACGACUGCGCUCUUGGCGGAGCUGGGGAAAGGUGCCCAUACCUUUCCUCUCAGAUGGAACUCCAGUUGAUUCCACAGAUCGACGAGUGCCUCGCAUCCUAGCUCCUCUGAAGAACAACACACAAGCAUUCAAACAUUAGCAUCAUACGGUUCAUAUGAAAACACAUGAACCUGCAACACACAUAGCAUACAUAGCAAAGCUAAUAUCAUGGCAAUAGUUUAAUAAUAUGAUGAAACUUAUAUGCCAAAUUUAGUGUGAUUGGUUUUGGGUAUUAGCCUGCAAAGCAUUAGUGUUACCUUAAAGUUUUUUUGUGAAUUAUUUUGCCUUGGAGUUGGUUUUUUUCCCUCCCUGCAAUUAUGAUAUGGUUAAGAGCUCAGACCUCAGGAUAUGAAAAUAUGAUUGCACGAGUUAUAAUCUUUCUCUUCUCUUCUUGAUAUGUGUCAAUUUCUCAAAAAAUUUGAAUGCCAUUGUGCUGAUACUGAAAUGGGAUUCUAGCUUUGAACUUCUGAAAUUUUCUUCUUGAUAAUUUUCACUUCCAUGCAGCUGAGGAAAUUAGGAAUUAUUACUACCAAUGUAACCAUACAUGCCUUGUCAGGUACUGCUCUCCAUUUGCUCAUUGCUGACUGAUCCAAAUCCUGAUGACCCGCUUGUACCGGAGAUUGCCCAUAUGUAUAAGACUGAUCGAGCCAAGUAUGAAGCAACUGCACGCAGCUGGACACAGAAGUAUGCCAUGGGAUGAUAAAUAUUCAGAUACUGUAUAAAUGGGUUGUGUCUAUUUGUGGAACGUGUUGAAUCCGUUUUAACUUUUGGACUUCGUCUGAGAGGGGGGCUGUGUUAGGGAAUGAACUUUUGUUUGGUGGAACUAAAACUAUGGCUUGGAGAUUGGCUGGAAAAUAACUGUAUGGUCAGGAUGUUUUGAUGUAGACAAUGUCUUAAGCUCUUAUUUUCUCUAGUGUUAAAGCGCUUUUUUUUAACUUGGUGAUUUUGUUACAAUGUAAUAUGGCUCUAAUCGUGGGCCUCUGUUUGACGCAUAUGUGCUAUGGCAUAAAGUAUGCACCGCAGUUUAAGCUUCCUAAGCACCAUUCACUUUUAUGAGAGCAAUAGGCGCUGGUCUCUCUACGGAUAUCAAUUCACCCAAGCUAAUGCUGGUUACAUAUCUGCAAGUACUUGAUAGGAGAAGUUUCUUUAAGCAAUAUGCAGCAUGUUUUUAUAUUGGAGUUGCAAUAUAAAUAUAUGUGAUGGACUAUGUUCAAGUGACAUAUUCUUUAUUUUUUUUUUUCAGUUGACGAGCUAGUACGCAGAUAAUUUAACAUUUGAAGUGUCAAUUCAUUCUCCUGCAUUUCACAUGCGACGGUUCAAAGGUCAGUAAGUUGUUGGGUAAUGGGUCACUAACAAUCCAAUAUAUAUAUAUAUAUAUAUAUAUGGAAGUAGCGUAUGAAUUUGAUAUUCAUGUUUGAAAGUAGUAGGGAGUCGAUGCAGCCGUGAUUGCUUCCUUGUCUUCCCAAUUUGCACAAAGAUUCAUUGGUUUGGAGGCUGCAAGAUAUGUUCACUAACCUUAUGGCAGCAAUAUAAGUAGGUAUUCAAAAAUUGAAACACUACUAAUGAGUAAUGAUCCAUCUUUUACAAUUGAUAUGGUUAAAUUUAUGGCAGUGAGAAUAAUUCGACAGCUAGGCCUUCUUGAUGCAUGUCAACUGUCAGACUUCCAAACUUCAUGAAAUUGCUAUUCGAUUAAUUGAAUUAAUUUGAAUUCAACUUUUAAUGGAUUUCAGAAUUAUAAUCAUUCUGAAUUAAAAAUGAGAGAAUAUUAAAUCUCUCAAAAACUAAAAUAUUUGAUGGAUUAUAUGAUAAUCGAAAUUACAAAAAUAUGUUUAUAUUAUUAAUUAUUAAUUAAAAUACACUUGAAUUAUUUUUUAUUAAUAAAAAUAAUUACUAUUCUAUAUUGUUUAUAAAGAAUAAUUAUAAAUGAAAUAUAUAAAUUACAAUUAACAUAUUAAUGAAUGAAAAUUUGAUUUAUUUAGCUAUUCUAUUACUAAAUACAAAAUAGAUGAAUUGAUUAUAAAAAAUUUUAGAAUUAUUAAUUCAAAAUGGAACUAAAUUAAACACAUCUGACUAAAAUAAUCAAAUUUUAUCAAUCAAAUCUCAUUAUAAUCAAAUAAAGCAAACUCACGCAAAGGGCGACAAGCCUAUAUUGCCACGUAAUUUUCAUGUUUUUAGCCCUUAGCUACGUAGGGCCGGCAAUUUUAAUCAAUCACAUCAAUUUGAUUCAAAAAUUAAAAUUAAUUAUUAAAAUAGUUGAGUUUAUUAAAACUCCUAUCAUUUUUUUAAAUAAAUAAUAAAUGCUUAAAUUUAAUUAAAAAAGAAUCGAAACAAAAUUGGAUCCCAGUACCGAUUGUGGCCAAUUUUAGACGCAGCAGUAAACUCCUCAUUGGUGAAAAUUAAUAAAUAUAUCUAUAUUAGUAAAAAAUAAAAUAAAAAAAAAAGCAUAAAACGAGCCACCGACCAAGUCAUGGUCAAUUUGCACAACGGAUGCACAUAGCGCCCAAGAAGUCACCAACGUUAUUCUCCUCUCACUACGGUUGGCACAUGAUUGGGUAGGUGAUUGCCAAAUGACUAAACGCCCAAUCCAUGGUCCGAUAAAUUCAGACAAAAUUGUGGGUAUUUAAGUAAUUAAAUAUAUGAAAAAAAGGCUAAAGGAGCCGUCAAAACACAGGUUGUCAGUAAAGUAAAACGAAAACAGGUAAUUCCGCCUCAAAACUUCUAGAGAGGAAAACGACAUCGUUGGGAACAAUGAAUUGAACUCUCCUCUGCUUUGCUUACAGAAUUACAGCAGGCGGAUAAAAAAGGACAGGCUGCAUGUGAACGCCGGGAAAAAGCUGGUGGCUCUUUCCUUCCUCAGUUCCUUUGCUUUUUCUGGUCCCAAACUAUUAAACUAAAUCUAGGGUGUUUCUUAUUUUCUUUUAAAAUUUCAAUUCGAAUUUGGAUAUAGCUUCUUCUUCUUCUUCUUCCUCCUCCUCUUCCUCUUCUUCAUCUAAGAAGGUAAUGUUCAUUUAUUAGUCUUUCUGUUUACCUUGAUUUCCUUUUGUGAAUCAGUGUUACUUGAUGUUAAUGCAAGUGCUUCAAUUCAGGUCCCUUGUCAUAAUUCUGAAUCUUCUGCUCUUGUAUACUCGUCAAAUCGAGCCAGGAGAACAAGAAAGGGAGGGAAUCAGGUAUGCCUUUGAUUAUAAUUUUCGCGGCUUCAUUUUAUCACCUAUUUAAAUUUAAUUUUUUCUUCAGUCUCUUCAAGUAUAGGGACUUGAACUUAGAUUAUUUCCGUUUUUUUGUCAUGUUGGUGUUGUUUCUUUUUGUGGAUAACUAAGCUUUGCUUAAUCAGUUCCAAACCAAACCAGGGACUCCCACAAGCCCCGGAUUCAGGAAAAUGAUACAAAAGAAAAUUAAUUCUGGCGUUAAAGGGAAUACUAAUUAAAUGCUAAAGAAUAAUAAAAGCUCUGAUUUGCCAAAAAAAAUAAAAUAAAACAGUUACCCAACUCAACGCUGUCUAGAACUUGAAAUUUCUUCUUUUUUUUUUUUUAAAAAAAAAAAUCUAAAUUACGAAAACUUAAAAUUAUAUUAUGUGGGCAUUACAGGAAAAUAAUAGUUAUAUCCUGCAGGCUUUAAGGAGCAAACUUCAUUGAGUACUCUGGUUUUUCACUUUUCUGAAAUGUCAAAGAUUAGCAUAUUAUGCUAACUUUAAAAGAAGGAUUGGGAAGCUUAAGCUUUGUUUUUCAAAGCUUUAACAGCCCAUGCGAACUUUUUAGUGGCAAAUAUUACUUAGAGGCACAGUUUCUUAAGACUAGAUUAGAAAACUUGAAAGUUGAAAAAGGUGAUGUUUGUAUCCACCCAUCUAUCACAGAGCAAGCAUUGAACAGAAGACAAAUUCCCCAUUUCUGUUUGUUGCUGUUAUGUUGUGGGAACUUUAUUGAGAAACGAUGUAAAAGAACGUGGAUUGGCAAGUAAAAGCAAAGUAUCUUGUGCCAAGUAAUCUUUCAAUCUCUAUUUAAAUGCACAAGUACUAGCAGGUGGAAAACACACCAACUUUUGCAGCAGCAUAUAGAGGUUGUCCUGCUCAUGAUGAUUAUCAUAGAUAGUCCAAAUCACGAUUUUAAUAUGACCUAAAUCAUUUUCAGCAGGCCAGCAUGCUCCCUAGAAACAAUAGUCACCACUUUAGAACGUUGGAAACUCCAGAAUUGCAUGCCAUCCUUGCAUGAGACUUUAACUGGGAAGGCCCAUGUGGAUGAAAAAUUGUCAAGCUAUAGAUAAAAAUGCUUGUCACUUGCAAGUCUGUGGAAAUGUGAAGUUUAAUAUUCUCUUAAUUAUCAAAGUUUUUUUUUUUUCUAUAACCCCAUAUUCAUUCACCUGGCUCUGAGAGAAACCAGAAACUGCUGUUAAGAAAUCAAAUAUGCCAUUUUUUUUCUUUUUAUCAUAAAAUUUUGAUGGAUUCACUUUUGCAUUUUCUGACUUUCAGUACCUUUCUACUGCAGCCGCUAGGGAUUAAAAUUUUGGUUAUCUAUACAAGAUAUGGGACAAUGCUUAUGCUUUGCUAAAGUAAGUGUUUUGAGCUGAUGCAUAUUAUAAUCAUGAUAAAACAAGAAAAUGGAUAUUAUUAUUAUUAUUUUAAAUUCUCCAUGUGCAAGUACUGGUCAUUGCUUUCUGCUACUUCUUUUUCCCUGUGCCUGUCCUCCUAUAGCAUUGUUACUUGUUAGUUCUUAUGUGCAAGCAUGCACGUAGUAUGUGUGUUUGUGUUUGCCAGAAAUCCCUGAACAGAUUAGUUAAUUCUUUCUUUUUGUAGGAAGAAAAAAUAUAUGAAUCAGGAAAAAGGCUCUGAUUAUUCUAUUUUUGUAUUCAAAUUUCCUAGUCAAUACUGCUAAAAAAAGUUAAGAUGUGAGUAAUGUUCAUUGUAAUUUUGUGCAUAAUGCUGUGAAAGAUUUCAGUUAUGGUCUCAUGCAAGUUGAAAUCUUAAAAAUUUCUUGCUAAUUCCAAAACAAUUGGCCCUUCGGAUAAUGUGACAUAAAGGACCUGUGUUGAAUCCGAUUACUUGUCAACCCAGACAGACAAUGCUUUGAUGUUGACUUGCACGAUAGAAUUCUAACUCUCCCUUGAUUUAUCUGAUUCUAAGUCUGAUUCCUACUGUGUUCAAUGGAAAAUCCUAUUGUCAAUUGAUUCACUUAGGUUUAACAGUCAAGACUCAUCAGCUAAUAGGAUUUUUUUUGGUUUAUAAGAAAUGGUGAAAAUGUUAGGAAAUGUUGAAGGUGUGCUUUUGUUUUUUUGUUUGAUGCUGCUAACAAUAGUUUUCUUUGAAAGGGCAGCACUAUCCUCUAUAAGGUAUCCUGGCUUACACAUUGAUGAGAGAAACAAAAUAGAGAGAGUCCAUUUGAAAAUUGAAUCAGAAUAGAGAUUUUUGUUACCUUGCAUUUUGUUGGAAAGAUUUGACCUGUGGGAAAUUUGAAUUUGACAUGCACGAUUUUUUUUAUUGAUUAGAUUUAUUCAUCUAUGCUGGUUUCAUCAAUGUGGACAAGGUUCCAUUUGAUUGCCAAUAUGCAAUGCCUAUAAAGUUGUAAUCGAAAUCCCUCCUAAAAUAAGUUCUUGUCAUUCAUGAAUUUAAGUAACUAAACAAUACAGUAAACAUCUUUCAAAUGGUCUGAACUAAAAUCAUGUCAAAAUUCCAAAUCUGGAAUUAUUCCAUCAAAUGUAGUUAAAUAAUUUGUGAAGACUAGAAGUAUUAAAUACAAAUCUUUAAUGAGAUCAAAUAAAUGGGGAUGAGAUUGAACCUUGAAGUUACUCAAUAUAUAGAAAAAAAGGAGAAGAAUUCACUUUCAACAUUUGGAAUUUAAAAUUAAUAUUGAAAGAGCAGUUGUUGGUGAACAUUACAUGGAAUGUGAAAUUUCUAGUAGUUUUUUCAACUUUAAAUGCAAAACUUGGUGAAAGAGAACCGUAGCUCCAAUUGUUUGUGAAAAAUUAAUUGUGAGCAUCAUCUUCUCGGCUUUUAUUCAAAUGGCAGAUUUGUGCUUAGAAAAAAGCAGCAAUAUCUUUUCUAGUUUAGUAUCAUUAUUGUUGUUGGCUCCUUACCUUGAGCAUGGAAAUAUUUGGUUCCAUGGCAUGGCAAAUAUUACCCUUUAUCCCUCAUCCCUCUAAUAUCUUUACACUUCCAUUUGUGUUAUUUGUUUUAAACUAUUAAUUAUGUCUUUCACACGAAAGCAUGCUUGUUGUGCUACUGUGGAUAAAGGUAAUGACAAAAUUACUAUGUUGAUGACAUUUUUAGCGUCAACAGGGUGAAGGACAUGAUUCUGAUGAGCAUUUUGAAUUUGUUGGCAGUAAUGUGCACCUCAUUACUGCCAAAGAGGCCUGGGAUCAGAAGCUAUCAGAAGCUAAUAGGGAGGGCAAAACUGUAAGUUUUAACUUUGACUUCCAUUUGUAGAAGAGGAUGGCCAUAUUAGCACUUUCUUGGGGCACAUUGCACUAUUAUUAUGUUUUGAUGAUACAUACGCUUUUUACAUUUUAUGAAGUGACUCGGAAGGUCUUUGCUCUUAGAAAAUAUGAGAUAGUAACCUUUCAAGAAGUAUACAACUGAAAUAAGAGAACUAGAAUGCCCAUUCUAAACUUCCUCAACUUUUUGUCCCCCAUGAAGUUGCCUACUUGCUUACAGCUAUUAUGUGCAGUGAUUAAUUUUUUAAAUAGAGACUGGUUUAGAAGUUAUUUUAUAAGUGCUGUUCUAUAAUGUAUAUUCAAUCAUUUACUGAAGAUAGGUGUUUCAGGUUUUGGUGAAUUUCAGUGCAACAUGGUGUGGUCCUUGUAGGAUGAUUUCACCAUUCUACCGAGAGCUGUCUGAGAAAUAUCCUUCUCUAAUGUUCCUGUUGGUUGAUGUUGAUGAACUACCAGUAAGUUGUAAAAUUAUUUCAUGUAUCUGGGAAAGAAAUUUUAUUUACAUUGCUGAUAAUUAGACCCUUCAUUUAGCCUUUAGUGGUUUCUGCCUUCUUGCUUGAUGCAUGUUAUGGAUAAUGGAUAGACCAAAUCUAUGAGAUACAUAUUGAGGAAAUCUUUUCAAAAUCAGUCAGUCUUAAUUAUAUUUCAAUUUAGGAUAGACUUUUUUAUUAUUAUCUUUAUUAUUAUUUAGAUUAGGAUAAACUUUCUAAUAAUUAUCUAUCUUUGUUAUUAUUUAGAUGAGAAUAAACUUUCUAGUUAUUAUUAAUUAUGGUAAGACUUUAAUUUGUUAGGAAUUCUUAUACUAUUGUAAAUGUUUCAUUAUGUAUAUGGGGUUAAUUUGUGAGCAAUGAAAUAAGCAGAAAAAUUAUAAACAAUUUGAGAUUUAAGGCUUUCUCAUUACCGUGACAUGAUCCACCCCCUGGAGCUGAAACAAUAUGACACUCUCAUCAUCCAUCUAAACUCUACAUUGGUAGAACUCUCUGAACUGGAGCUAUACUUUCAUGAUAUCAUCUUCUUUAUUGUGCUGUACAAACAACCUGCAGACUCUGACAAAGAUGUUGGAUAAACAGAUUAAAUAUAAAAGAUCUCUAUGAUUUUGCAGCCUAUUUACUGAGCACUGAUUUUUGCUGAACUUAGUAAUGGCAAUGCGUUAGUAAUUUAAGUUUUCCGUGUCUCUUUUAGUCAGUGUUUGGCUUAAAGAUUUAAAAGUGUUACUGUGUGUAACGCAGGACUUCAGCAGUUCAUGGGAUAUCAAGGCUACUCCUACCUUUUUCUUUCUCAGAGAUGGGCAGCAAGUUGACAAGCUUGUGGGGGCGAACAAGCCAGAGUUACAGAAGAAGAUAACUGCCAUUGUAGACUCUGUGAUUGAUUGUGACAAGUGAUUGUUGUGGUGGUUCCUGCGUUUGAGAGUGCAGCAAUUAGCAUGUUUGUCCAUUGUGUGUUUAAUAUUUUGGUUGUUAAUUGUGAGCCUUUUGUGUGUAGAUAUUGCCUGUCAUGUAAAUAUGACUACUUGAAAAUUUUGGAAUCUGGAGACUGAAUGAGCAAAUUGUUUCUUCUAGUAACGUUGUUCUGGAAAUGUGAAUCUUCUUUUCAUUUUUCCAGUCUACCAUAUUUGAUCACUAUUCUCUCUUUUAUUUCUCUGCCCUUUUUUCCCCCCCAAAAUCAGGAGCCAAAACUUCAAACAUAUGCUGUGACGCUGUUCAGUUCUGGUCUUGGAUUGAUUUGAGAUUAAAAUUAUCUCAUAUUUUAUGUAAUUUUUUUUUAUAGAAAAUAAUGGUUAGUUAGAAUUGAUUAAAAUCUAACUGUAUUGAGAUUAAACCGAAAAUGAAAGACUUGAACCUGACUAAUAACAUCAAAAAAAUGUUAUUUUUAAGUUAUUACAAUCACAGUAGAACUGUCACGGCAUAUGUCUUAAUUUAUACAUCAAGUUUAUUAGACAUAAUUUACACAUCAAGUUUAUUAGAGGUAAAAAUGAGAAUUUGGAUCUGGCAAAAAUGAGAAAUUGAAAUUGGAAACUGACUAAUGUUAAACCUAAAUGAUUGUCUAUACUUAUUAAGAAAUGGUCAAGGUUAAACAUCAUUAUAAAGAUAUAAAUAUUCUCACCACAGCUGUUACUCUACCAUCAUCAAUUUAUUAGUGUUCUCAUUAUUGCAGUUACUCUAUCAUCUUAAUCUAGCCCUAAAUAUUAAAUGAAUAUAAUACAAGUUCUACCUAAUAUCAGAACGAAUUUAAUAAUCGUUACAUUAAAUAUUUAUAUCAAAAUUUACAUAAAAAUAAUUAAAGUGUGUAUAUGAAUCUAUAUAUCAAUAUUUAAUAUAAUUUUUAUUGGGUCUAUUAUUAUACGAAUUUGAACUUUUCUUAUCCAUAUUUAAAAAUUUAUUAUAACACCGUUCUAUAAACUAUUAUUGAUUACUCCCAACACCAUCAUCAAAAUUGUGACCAACUUAUCUCCAUUAUAAUUACUAAAUUUUCAUUACUAGUUCAAUAAUUUUUAAAAUGUUUGACAUAAGUUUUAAAUUUUUAGUCUUACUUGUAAAAUUUUAAUGCUAUUAAACCUACUAACUAUAGUGGUAAUUCAUCUUAAAUUUCUAAAAUUUUCAGUUUUUAUCAAAUGCUUGUUGAGUAUGGUUUAAUCCUAUUGAUAAUACAUUAUUAUUUGUUACUUAAAAUAUUGAUAAUAUUUCUAAAAUAUCAAUUUUUGUCAUUAUAAUAAAAAUGAUGUAUUUGGUAUAGAUUUAUGCAUUUUACAUUCUUACGAGCAGGUGGAAGGAAUGUGCACAGAAUCAUUGACUCUAAGAUAUGAAUUUGCACAACUCAUUGAUUUGCAUACCCACAAAACAAAAGCAAUUCCAAUUCAUACAUAGAAUGGAUGAAAGCAAUAGCUUAUGGUGUGAUGUGGAUGAGCACACAAUAUCUAAUAUUCUUGCUGUGUUUAUUAAUUGAGAUUUUUUUUUCUUUUGGUCCAUAUGACCAAAGCGUGUGAACAUACAGCUCCUUCUUUUAAAAAUACUAUAUUGAUGCGAGCAAUGAGAUCUUUAAAAUUAUCAUUUUUAAAAAAGAUAAUUUCAAUUUGUGAACUGUAAAUAUAAAAUAAGAUAAAAUAAAAUAUGAUAAUGGUUCAUGUGGACGGUGGACCAGUCCAGCAGGUUGGCAAGCUGAAUUUAAAAUUAAAAAUUGGUGAUUCCAAACUCAAUACUCAUGGAUACUAUCUGUGUAUAUAUGUAUAUAUAUAUAAUUUUCUAAUUCUUUUUAAUUGUAUAUGUAUAUAAUUUUCUAAUUCCAUAUUCUUUCUAACCACCUAUUUUUGUAUGUGCAUGACAUGAUAUUGUUAAAAUUUUAUUUUAAAAUUUUUAUAAUAAAAUAAAAUUAAUUUUUAAUCCUAUCUUGAGUAUGCAAACACCGACAAAAUUAAUACAUUUUAGUUUGAAAAAGAAGAGAAAGAAAAACGCAAUCAUCUGCUAAACAAUAGGGUGUCCCCAUUACCAAAUCAACAGCACUUAUAUUAAUGAUUAAUAUAAUGUGUUGGUUAACAUUAAAAUUCAAAUGUACAAAACAAAACCCCUCUCUCUCUCUCCUAUUAUUCAACAAAAAGAUGAGGCUGGCAGCUUAUUCAAAGCUGAAAGCCACCACCACUUGCCCACGUUUUGCCAGCUGAUCCACCUCAUUCUAAUUGGGAAAAGAAGAGAAGACUUGCCAAGAACUAAGUAUGAAAUAUGAUAUCAAUACCAAAUAAUGAAAGUAAUUGUAGAUACAAAUUAUAACUUAAGAACAUACCAUACCACUGGAAAAAGGGAAAAAAAAUGAUAAUUGGGUAAAUGAAUUGCCAAAUCGAUUUCUUGGAUGAUUGACAAUGGAUGUAAAAUUGCAGAUUUUGGUAAAGUAGCAAAUGCAGUCCAUACUUUUGAUCUCAACGACCUUUUGGGUUCAUGAUCUGCGAGAACACAGCACUUGGUGUCAACCCAUCAGAGACUUCACUAGCAAGGCUCCGGCCGCCUAUGCUCAUGCUCAUUCCGCUGCUCCUUGAAUCUGUGAUGUUACCAUCAAAGCCAGGGGCAGCAUCAGGAUCUUUCUUCCCUUUGGAAGCAGUGUUAAAUGGCAUCUCCUCAUCAUCUAUUACGCUGAUACCUUUGCCACUCUCCUCUGCACUCUCCUGUAGCUGCAAAGCAAACUCUAGGUUCCACAGCACAUCUCCCAUUGAUGGCCUCUCAAUGCCCUGAUCAGCCACACAUUUCAUUGCAGUCUCAGCAAACUUUUUGAAGCAUUCAGGUGCAAUCCUCCCCUUCAGAUAGGGGUCAACAAUCUGAUCAAGAAUGCCUUUCUUGUGGCAAUGAGCAGCCCACUCUGCCAAGCUGACUUGCUCCUUUGGCAGUGUCGGGUUCAAGGCUGGUCGAGCACACAGGAUCUCAAACAGCACAACUCCAAAAGAGUAGACAUCUGAUUUAUCAGUUAGUUGCUGCCGCCUAAAAUACUCAGGAUCCAGAUAGCCAAAACUACCCUUCACCACAGUGCUAACAUGGGUGUUAUCCAGCGUAGGACCUGUUUUUGACAAGCCAAAAUCAGAGACCUUUGCAACCCAUUUCUCAUCCAAAAGGAUGUUGGUUGUCUUGACAUCUCUGUGGAUAAUGGUGUGUUUGGCACCAGUGUGGAGAUAGUGUAAACCACGAGCUGCACCAAUGCAUAUCUCAAGCCUUUGCUUCCAAGGCAAUGGAGGCUUUUGGGUUUUGUAUAGAUGCUCACGCAGUGUCCCAUAUGCCAUGUAAUCAUAAACAAGGAUCAUUUCACAGUUCUCCUCACAGUACCCGAUCAACGAAACAAGGUGGCGGUGACGAAGUUUUGAGAGCAUUUCAAUUUCAGUCUGGAACUCAUGCACGCCCUGCUCAGAAAGCGGAUUGCCACGCUUGAUUGCAACUUUUGUAGUUCCACCAUCAACUUCACCCUUGUAGACUUUCCCAAAACCUCCCACUCCAAGGACUAGAGCCUCGUCAAAAUUGUUGGUUGCAGCCUUGAUCUCAGCAAAUGAGAAGUGGCGGCAAAGGUUUGAAGGUAAAGAGGAAGCAUAACUUCCCGUGGUGUUUGUUUUGGCUGAACCAGCAGAGUGAGAAUUUCCAUACAGAGAAAGAGGCAGCCACCCAGAUGGCGCAUCACUUGAACUUGCCUCCUUCCCUUGUCUAUGACGACGAGAGGCAGCAAUAACACAGUAACCAAUGACAAGGGCUAGAACAACCCCACCGCUUACACCACCAGCUAUAAUUGCUUUCUGAUUCUUUGAAUGGCCAGAGCCUGAUGAUGGUCUCACCAAUGAAGGGUCAAUUACUUCCUGUUUAGGAGCAGGGAUUGGAUUGGGCCCAGCAAGAUUACCAUCAGUGCUGCUAAUUUUGAAUAUCUCCACACCAUUUAAAAUUGCAUCAUAAAACUGGGACUUCAAAGCUGAAUCAGUGUUUGGAUGAAGCGCAAGCCACAUAUCCUGCUGAGGGCUCCCAUCAGGAACAAGCACCACAUAAUCCUUAUGCACUGGAACUCCAUUGUGACCUGCCCAGGCAAUCACAUCAGCUCCAUUCUCAGCAGUUUGAUUAUUGAGGAAGAUGUUGAACACUCUUUGAUUAAUUUUGGUUAUAUUUGAAGCAACUUCACAAAAAUGGAGCCGAACCAAAUAACUGAAACCAGAGUCGACGCUGAAAAUCCAAGUCAAAUUGUAAUUCAAAUUGAUGUUAGCGUUUGGCCCCAUUGAUCUAGAGGUAGAAUAGACAUUAAGUGGUGCAACAUAAGGAGGCACGGGGCUUUUAAUUGUCGUGUUUGGAUCAGCAGUCUCUGGAACACCAAAUGCAGCUCCAUAAAGAUAUGGCUGGUCAUCAGACCAAGACCUAAGCAUACCGGUGUCCCCUGAUGGCGAGAUUUCAUUCCCACCCACAUUUAACCGAUAAACAUUCUCAAGUGCAGUACUAUUAUCUAUGGUGAAUGAAGCAUCGUUACCCACUAUCAUUAAAGUUCCAUCAGUAUUACCAUAAAUAUCAGUCAUGGACACUAUCUCAAUCCCAUUGACAAAUGCAUAAGCCUUCGGAGAAUUUGAAGAUGGACCGAAAGUUAUAUUCAAUAUUCCACCAUCCACAUUAAUCGAAUACUCCUUCACAAUGAAGGCAUAAUUCAAAGCUUCCGUUGUUUGAGCUACACUGAAGUUCUUAAGAAGGGUAAAAGACCCAGCUGUGACGGAAAAGAGAGCAUCAGAUGCAUUAAGCCCAGCGUAGGAAGAAGGAUAGAAAUACAGACGGACAAAUUUGCGACCAUCACCCAAGGGGAAACUAUAGGUAAAAGUAGAGCGAAAAACACGAGCAGUCAUGAAAGGGACUUGAGAGACUGCAGGGUCUUGAGUGGCAGCAGGGGAUAUAGAUGAAUUCGCAGACGAUGCCAAAAACUUAGAACCUUUAUCGGCGGUCCAUUUCUGACCAUCGGUAUCGGUGUCAUCCGAAGUUGCUCCACAAUCUAGGAGGAUUUUAUCGGUUGGCAUAUAAUUUUGGGCAAAGGCAACAAAAAUUACGGAGGCCAAACAAAGUAAAACGAGAGCGCAAGCAGGAAACCACCUACCCAUUCUUCCUAUGGACUCCAAUUUGACAAUAGAAACACAAUUAACAAUCUAUACGAAGCUGAAAGUGGAUGAACCCGUUAUCCAAAUCCAAAAAGGUGAAAGAUAUAGAGAAGGCAAAGUCGAAAAAGCAAGAUCUGAGCUGAACCCAGUGACCUCAACCUCAAAUUUUGAGAUAUCAAAAAUUAAAGAGCCCAAAAAAGAACAAGAAACAAGAUCCACAAAAAAAAAUGGCUAUAGAAGCAGAUUACAAGGAGCUAAAGCAAGCAGUAGAUUGCAGGGAAAGCCAAGGAAAGCAACCAUUAGCAGAAAAAGAAAGAGAAUUCAAGCCAAUUUGAGCUGAAGGGAGUGAAAAAGAUAAAAGAACAGAGAAUUCUAACCUUACAGGCGGGGCAGAUAAUCAAACUCAGUGAGUCAAACCAGAGAGAUCGGAGAGGGUUAGAGCUUAGAAGUUUGACAAGCCGGGAGCGAGCAGAAAGAGGCUGAGAUCAGAUGGUGGAGUUGCCCAGUUAUUUUAAGACAGAGAUACUGAUAAGUAGUCAUUUAGCUGUAAAUACAAUUAUUUUUUUUAAAUUGAUAUUGAAUGACGAGAAUGACCUUAGAGGCGCUAACUGAAAUGCUGAGUUGCCAUGUGAUUGGAUGACAGAUGGGUAGGGAAGUGAUUUGCACUUCAAACGCGUUAUUGCCUUAUUGGAGGCGGCGCGACGCGUUUGUCCUUCAUAGGCCCUUGAUGCCUCUGCUUUGAUUGAGUUGUUUGGCAUUCCCAUAUAUGGAUUUUCAAUAGGGUUUGUAGAUGGGAUACUAUGAUAGAUUUGUUAUAGGCAUUGUUAAAUGAUAUCCAUGGAACAUUGGUAAAAAAAAAUAAUUGAAACCUCUAAAAAAAUAAUAAUCUGACCGUCCCGAAAAGUUAUUUUUUUUAUCUUUCUCAAAUUAUAUCUGGGUUUUUAAGUUAAUUUCACAAAUAUUCAUAUUUAAUAUACAUUAAAAUUGAAAUUUAUUAGUUUUAAAAAUGAAAUAAUAUGAGUAAAGUAUAUAUUAAUAAAAGAAAUAUAAAAUUUAUUAUUUAAUUAUAUUUUCAGGAUCCUCAGAAUAUUACCUUAAAAUAUAUCAUCAUAUUUAACUAUGUCUGAAUUUUUUUAACUAUUAGUUGUAUUUGGAAAUUUUUUUUACAGAAAAUUUAGAAAAAAGAAAAAUAUGGGAAUUUUAAAAAAAAAAAUUGAUAAAAGUAAAAAAGAAAGAUUUCUUUUCAUUUGAAAAAUUAAGCAAAUAUUAAAGUUAGUAAGGUGCUAAUGUCUAAACUCUUUAUAUAUAAACAAUGUUAGUUUUAAAUGGAAGAAUGAAGAUGAUAUGGUCAAAGUGAUGAAUUUAAGUACAAGUCAUCUUCGUCCAUUGACAAAGAAAACGCCUGGAAUGCAAUGCAAUAGUAAAUCUUUUGCCAAAAUUAGUUCAACGCCUAUUUCUAAUAAAAAUUUAAUCAUUUUUCUAUAUUGCAUAAAUUAUUGUUUAAUAAUAUUAUUAAGUGCCGACAUAUUAAAGUAAUAUAUUUUUGUAUUUUUCAAAAGAUUGAUUUUUCUAUUAAAAAAAAAAAAAACUUAAGCAAUGCAUAAAAGGAAAUGCUAUCUUUUUUAGAAAAAAAAUUAAAUUUUACAAAUUUUAUUAACACUAUUAUAUUUUUAUACAUAAAUUUUAUUAAUACUCUUUAUUUUUUUAUUGAAUUAUAUUCAAGUUAUUUUUUAUAAAAUAAAGAGAACCUAAAUAUUUAUUCAACCGUGUAAUUUUCUUAUAUUUUGGUCAAUAUAAGACUUAUUUAUGUUGGUGCAAUUUUAUUAAUUAAAUCCAAAACGAGUUUUUUUUAAUAUAAAAAGAUUAAUUAAAAAUAAAUUUUAAUUGCUAUAAAAAUCUCAACCAGUCAUUUUUGGUAAAAUGAUACGAAUUCGUUAAAUAUAAUUAAUCAUAUUUUGAGAGGAUUGAAAUUAUUAAUUUGUUAAAUAAAUAUGUAUGAUGUAGUUACUCUAUUUUAUAAACAAAUAAAUAUUUAUAUAAAAAUCUGUGAACCCAUCAUUUCAAUUACAUAUAUGUUUUGAUUUAUUUUAUAAAAAUCUUGAUAUAAAACAAAUUUAAAAUAUAAUUAACUAGUACAAACUUGAUCUUAAAUAAUAAUGAAUAUUUUCAUUUUAAUUGCGUAUAUUGUAAUUAUGUUCACACAAAUUUAUUAUGAAUAUUUGAUCUAAAAUUUAUAAAACACAUUUAUAUUAAAUAAAAUCUAACUAAUUUAUUUGCCUUAAAUUAUAUCCCAUGUUAAUAAUACCUCACAUUAUAACAUGGAAGGUUAGGUAAAUGCUGGAUAUACACAUAUAUAUUACAUACUUACCAAAAUAAUAAACUUCACAUAGCACAUUAAAAUAAUAUAUUUUAUUUAUAAUAUAUAUAUAUAUAAAUCUGAAAAAUAGAGAGAAUAUUUUGUAACAUCAAUUUAUCCUUUUAUUUAAUUGGUAAAAGAUGGAUUUUUAUUUUAUCCUUUUACUCUUUGAAAUUGAUUAAAUAAUUAUUUAAAUGCUUUUUUUUUUAAUUUGCUAAUAUUAUAAGAAAAUAACUUAAUAAUAAUAAUAAUAAAUUACGGAGAUGUAUAACGAGUCAAAACAAUGUCAUUGCACGUCUAAAAAAACCUAUUAUUUAUAAACAACGUCAUUAGACUAAAUUUCAAUAUGGGUUUCAUAAUGGUGAAGAUUACAGUAGUUAAUAAAACGAUUUAAACAUUAUGAUCACCAAAAUAGAGUUUAAUGUGGACUACGGGCUUUGAGUUUUAAAGUUUUGCUUUUUUCAGAGUGAAGAUCAAGCCAAAUAUUUUGAAGAAAGAAGGCUAAAGCCAAAAAGAGAAACCAUACCUACAGGAUCGAGUAUUCAAAGAAAAACAAACCCUUUAGUUAGUUUAGCUCACCUGUCUGUAUGCAGAGUGAUAUAGUCUCUUGCCAUAUCCAGUCAAUGCUUCAUUCGUACAAGCCACUACUUCUUCUUCUUCUUCUUCCUUCUGCUUUAUCUCAAUCCUAUUCAUACAAGACAUUAGCAAGCAAAGGACAAAGAGAAUGAAUCGACUUGUUUCAAUUUAUAGUGAUUGUUGUUGGCGUCUUUGUUGUAUCUGCAAUGAAAUUGUCACCUUGACAUGAUGACAUCUGAACAGCAAGCUACUUUAAUCCCCUUAGGGUGAUCUGAUCAUUUUCUUGCUGGACCCUUCUAUAACUUACCUUGGGAGUCAUACCUCCAACUUUACUUACGUAUGCAGCCAUCUAAAUUAUCUAUAUUGCUGCUGAUUGUGUUUGGAAGACAAGAGAAUUAUGGGAGACAAGAAAGAAAAUAUUUUCUUUGCUUUGAAGCCAGAGGGUUGCUUCCCUCAUCAAUACUCUUCUUAAAAAUCACAAUUCCGUUAUCCAUCAUAAGAAAAAAUAAGAAAAACGAUAUAAAUAUGUGGUCCAAUGAGGAGGCAAAGCACAAACUUACUGCUGAUAGAACAAUAUCAUGGAUACCCACAAGAGAGUUAAUUGGUUUCAUAACCUUUUUUCACUGGCUAUUUUGUUUAUGUUCCUUGGAAAUGCAAAGUCCAGUAAUGGCUUUAAUGCUCCUGAGAGUGGGCAAUUUGAACUGACAGUGGAGGAAGUGGACAGCCAUUUACCAUAUUCUAGUGCUAAUCAAGGGUAAUAACACAAGGGUGUAGAAUAUAUAGUAUUAUAAAUCAUUUUUAUAGAUUACCAAUUGUAUGAUUAUUUUGGUUGUUUUUGUGUAUAAUUUUCAGGAUUUAUCAGAUGAAUGAUAUGGAAGAAGAUGCAUGGGAAAUGGUGCAGAAGAAAGGUACCCAGUUUGUGGUCGAUGAUCAGCCUUUCUAUGUUAAUGGCUUCAACACAUACUGGCUGAUGGUAUUUGCUGCGGACCAAUCUACCAGAGGAAAAGUCACUGAGGUUUUUCAACAAGCAUCUUCAGUGGGUCUUACAGUCUGCCGAACUUGGGCAUUUAAUGAUGGCCAAUGGCGUGCUCUUCAGAAAUCUCCAGGUGUUUAUGAUGAAGAUGUUUUUAAGGUAAUUAGGUUUCUCGAGUUCGACACUGUUUUUAGAAAUCAAUAGAAAUCAUUACUAUUUCUCUGCUGAUUUCACUCUUUCUGAGCUGCAGGCCUUGGAUUUUGUGGUGAGUGAUGCGAGAAAGUACAAGAUGAGGCUCAUUUUAUCGUUGAGCAACAACUGGGAAGCAUAUGGUGGCAAAGCACAAUAUGUUAAAUGGGGAAAAGCUGCUGGCCUUAAUUUGACAUCUGAUGAUGAUUUCUUCUCUCAUCCUACUCUCAGAAGCUAUUACAAGGCUCAUGUUAAGGCAAGUUUCUUAUUAAUUUUUCUACCAACUAACAUUGAUCGAUAUCAUUCCAUUCCAUGUGGUCUAAAAUGGAAACUGCUAUUGCAAGUACCCGACAAACCUGGAAUACAUAUACCUGAUUAUGUUUUCUACAAUAUAGACGGUGCUCAACAGAGUGAAUACGCUCACAAACAUAACUUACAAGGAUGAUCCAACAAUAUUUGCUUGGGAAUUGAUGAACGAACCUCGAUGCACAUCAGAUCCUUCUGGUGAUAAAUUGCAGGUUUGUUUCUUCAAUCUUCAAUCUUCCACACAUAAUCACAUUUUGAAAGAAAGUGAACUGAUAUCUUUCGUUUUAUAGUCAUGGAUACAAGAAAUGGCAGUGCAUAUCAAAAGCAUGGAUGCAAAACAUUUAGUGGAGAUUGGAUUGGAAGGAUUUUAUGGUCCCUCAGCUCCUGACAGGGCUAAAUUCAAUCCUAAUACUUAUGCCACUCAAGUGGGAACUGACUUUAUAAGGAACCAUCAGACUCUUGGUGUUGAUUUUGCUUCUGUUCACAUUUAUGCAGACUCUUGGUAAGUGACAAAUAAAAAAAAAAAAUUUGUUUUUAGCAUUCCUCACAUAACAUGCUCACAUCAGAGAUUAUUUUUCUCAUAUCCAAAUCAAAACUAAUAAAAGCAGUGUCUAUUGAACCUCAUCAGAUAAAUCUUUGGUUAUUUACCUUCAGCUGCAUCAUCAUUUCCCUCUUAUGUAGCAAGGGUUUAAGCAACUAAUGAAAAUUUCAUGGAUGAAGGAUUUCGCAAACGAUUUCUGAUGCCCAUAUUGAAUUCACCAAAUCAUGGAUGGAAGCGCACAUUGAGGAUGCUGAGAAGUAUCUAGAUAUGCCUGUCAUAUUUGCUGAGUUUGGUGUAUCAACAAAAGACCCUGGUUACAAUUCGUCGUUCCGAGACACCAUGUUCAGUACUGUGUACAAAACCCUUCUGAACUCCACAAAGAAAGGUGGGAGUGGGGGUGGGAGCCUUCUGUGGCAGCUGUUCCCAGACGGAACAGAUUACAUGGAUGAUGGGUAUGCAAUUGUUCUAUCAAAAUCUCCUUCAACAUCAAAUCUCAUUUCCCUUCAUUCUACGCGGCUUGCAAUCUUCAAUUCCAUGUGUUCUUGGAAAUGCAAAUGGGGCUGCAGGAAGAAGAAUGCCUUGGAGACAUUCCUUUACCACGAUGAUUUGUAAAAGUACUUGAACUAUCACACAAAAAGGAUCCGAGUUAUCACAAUAAUAUGAACUUGUUUGUACCUCCCAAAACAUGAAUAUUCACAAAGAUAUAUAAUUUCAGCGGUUGUCUCAUGAACUCGGCUCCCCCUAUGAUUAAGGGACUACUCAAUUUCACCGAACUCUCAGCCCCUUGGAUUCUGACCUAUUUCCACUGAUAACAAUCAACUACCAUCUGUUUUAUAAGAAACAAAUGACAAUGCUAGCAUAGAAUCCACCUAGAAAAUGAAACUUCCGUGAUUUUCCUCCUCCUCUCUUUUGCGCUCGCUAACAAUUAUUCCAGAAUAAACAUUUGCGCUCCCUCUUCUAGUCACUCUCUGGAACAAUUAUUCCAGAAUAACAACAACGAAAUAGCCUUCUCCAAUUUAUUUCCUAGCACAAAACAAGUGCUAUUCAAGCUCCUCGUCCACUGAAGCUGCCUAACCUAGAUGCAGAAGAGCCAAAGCUACGCCUCAAUUGCUCCUCUAGAAUGGCACGCCUUGCAGGUUCAUGACGUCCCAGCAAAAGAAAUAAUAAUUCCCAUUUAUGAAACUCUUAACACAUCGUCAUUAAUUCUCUGGAACAGGACCAAUAAGGAAAUGACGCAAAAAUCUGCAUUGCACAUCCACAUUCCUGAGUUAUGGUUUAAGCGGUGGAGGAAAGUACAAGCAGGCCUGAGAGCUAAAAAUCAAACAAGUUUAGAGUACUGUUGAAUAGUAGCUGCAGUUGGAGAUCUCUCAAAUGCCAAUCAGUAGACUUUUUGUUGGAGGAACACACAAUACACCUUAAUUAAAAAUAUCAAAUACAAUUCGACAAGUCAAAUGACCUUUUGUCUACUGGUAAGCACAACCUUCCCAGCAAUUACAUCCCAUAAAACGAUACCUAAAUACUUUCUGAACAAAACCAUUUCAAACUCAAACCACAGAAAUUGAUAAAUAGGGCAAGCUACCACAAAGGGUCGUUCUUUGGAAGGAACGGGACUUGGGGCCUUACAUAAGUGAAAUUAAUAAAAGGGUUCACAUUACUCUUGGGGCUGGCAGCUGGAGAAUCUGACAGUGGCAUGUCAGUCCAUCGCUUCUCAAAAUUUGCAAUGCAAUGCUUCCCGGCUACUUCUGGACGGAAACUGGGCUGGAUCUCCCUAGACUCUAAUUUCUUCCAGUUGAUUGGCUUCAACCACUUGUGACGCUUAAUUUCUUCACUUCCUGUAGGACCACUGCCUAGGCGCUUGCUGGCAUCUUUUUGUAGCAGCUACAUGCAAAACAACAAAUUCUCUUAGUUUUUCAACUGGUAAUCAUUAGCCUCCCAGACAAAAUCCCAGAACCACCCCGCCCCAACUCAGUCAGAGCCAAGAACAUUUACCCCUUUCAAUAAAGAAUGCGCUUCACUUGACAAAUAAGCUGGUAACUUCAUCUUGUCCUUAACUACCUUCUGUUGAAUUUUCUCCCUGUUCCCACCAAUAAAAGGAGGCUGCAGGAGCAAUAAUCAACACAUAAACCUUUAAAUUACCAGCACAGGGUAUUAGUCAUCAAGGGAAAACAAUCAUAUAGAACUUGGUGAAAGAAAAACCAGCCUUUCCAGUCAGCAUCUCAUAUAAUAGAACUCCUACACUCCACCAGUCCGCAGCCUUAUCAUGGCCCCUUCCAAGAAUAAUUUCGGGUGCCAUAUAUUCAACUGUUCCACACAUUGAGUUUGAUCUUGUAUUUUCAUCAAAUUGCUUUGCCAAGCCAAAAUCAGUCAACAUUACCUAGACAAAACAUUAUGUUAAUGUCAGAAUUCUCAGUUCUAAUUUCAUUCUGCUUAGACAAAAAAAAACCUCUGCAGUGCAUUUUGGUGUCUGCUAGUGUGAGUCAGCGUAUGUGGACAUGUGUACAUGUGAGAGAGAGAGAGAGAGAGAGAAAGAAAUUACAUGGCCAUCAGCAUCCAACAGGAUAUUUUCAGGUUUUAGAUCUCUAUGCAUUAUACCAUUUGCAUGAAGGUGGCUAACUGCAGAAACAAUUUCAGCAGCAUAUACACGAGCCAGAUCCUCUCUAAAACAAAAUUGUAAGUGCUAAUAAACUUCAAGCUUUUAACAAAACUAUACAAACAGAAAACUAAGAUACCUGAAAAGGCCAUGAUGAUAGAGCUGAAAGAAGAGGUGACCCCCAUUGAUGAAAUCCAAAACAAGGUAUAAUCUAUAUUUGGUCUGCGAGCCAGGAACAAACAAAUGUCAGUAUUCCAACAUCCAAAAAAGCAACAUGGAAAAAAUAUGGCAAUCACAUUGCAUCUACUGCCUAAAAAUGCAAGAAAAAGAAUAAUCUUUGGAUGAAAUAUUACUUGGAAGGAGUACUUAAGCUGGACAAUGAAGGGAUGAUCCAUUUUUGUCAGAAUGUCUCUCUCUGCUUUCAUGUACUCAACAUGAUUCUUCUCAACUAUCCUGUCCUUCCGCAUUACCUUCAUUGCAUAUAUUUCUGAUGUACCCUUUUUCUUAACCUGAUAAACUCUCCCAAAUGCACCUUGCCCAACAACUUUCAGAACCUCAAAAUCUUCGAUCCCUACAAUGUGGACCUCCAAAGAAUCUCCAUUAUUGUCCUCAACAACUUUCUCAUUGGCAUCAUCAUCUGAUGAUUCCUCAAGUUCCACUAGCUCCAUAGAAUCCUCUGUUUCAUGUAAAGUGAGUUUAUUAAGCUUCGGUGACUGGCUAACACAAGAAGAGGGACCAACCAAUGAAUGCGAUCGGUUGUAAAUAACAACUGGAUCAUCGUAAAUAAGCUCAGUGAUAUCUGUCCCAGCCAAAGGAUUUGCCAAAUCACCACAAUUCACUUCAGAUGCCUGAGCUUGCAAAGGACCAAAUACAUCAGCAAAGUCUAGCUCAACAUGGUCUGAGACUAGAGUCUCCGGAGGGUUCUCAGGAAAAAGCAACUGGUUCUGCAAUGGUUUGCACAUGAAGGUCUUUGUUAACCCUGAUAACUGAGAGGAAACCAUGUUACAAAGAACGGUAAGAUGCCAACUGCAGACAGCUGAAACAAUUACUCCCUCUCUACAGAUGCUAACUGCAGUUGGCCAAAUCUAUCCACAGCUAAAUUGUGAUCUCUGUGCAAAUCUCCGAGACACGAACUGCAGAGGGGCUCCUAUCAAUGGCCUUAAUCAAAAGAAAGUUAACGCGUGCAAUAGGAGUCCCCAGAAACUUUGGCAACAGGCAAAAUAGAAUCCAGAAGAAGCAGCUGUUAUUGUUUCCCGAUUUGCAGGAAACAGAGAAUGGUCCAGUGGUCCUUGAAUUCAUUAAGAUCAAACCUGAAAUUCAAUUUGAAACACUGGAUGAGAAAAUCACCAAAAUCAAAGAACUGCAUACGUAUUUUAUCAAUAAAUCAAUAUCAGAUUACGUCCGUCCUGGCAGGAGAAUGGACAAAGCGAAACAGACAAAUCCAGAUGAAGUCCGGAAGAGUGAACGAGGAAAAUAUAAAGUGAACUAAUUCAAAUGAAUCUCACGAUAAUUAAGCAAAAACCGUUCAUAUGUUCUAUAAGAGUGAGAUUCAAACUCCAUCCUUAUCCUUAUUGACACAGUAUGCCAAAAUUAAAAUCAUAAAUCCAAAAACCUAAGCUGAAUUGACCUAAAGAAUGGUUGCAAAGCAGAGCAAAUUUGAAUAAAAUAAGGAGGGAAAAAAAAUUCAUACAACCAAAUCAAACAACAGAACCCAAUCAAUCAUAGAUAACAUGCACGAUUGAAGAGGAGAAUGUAGAGUACCUGAGCGAGGACGCAGACGAGAGAGGGAGAUGGGGACAAGUUAUGAGAUGUGCUGUACGAGGGAGAUCCUGAUGCGAUGGUGUCGCGUCGCCUCUUAAAUUAAAGGCCUGAACGUGACCAGUGGCAACGCUACGAAAUUUUUCACCUCCGAUACGUGGCGUGGUUUCCACAGUUGGUGCAAUAAAGUUCUGUCAUCUCAAUUUUUAUGUUUUGUGUUAGGGUGAGAUUUCAUGAUUAUUCUAACACAAAAUAAAAUUUACUUUAUAAAAAACAAAAAUAUUAUGAAAUUAUCCAUAUGUGCAUUACCUUCAAAAAAUAUUAAUAUUUGUUUUAAGCUAUUUAACUUUAUUGCUCUGUUUAAAAAAGUUUAUUGCUUAAUAUUUUACUAAAUUCUAUAAUAUUUUAUUUAACAACACAAAUCUUAGUUUAUGCUAUGCAAUUUACAAAUUUAAGAUUUCAUGUUAAAAAGAUUAAUUUUUUAACUUACUAAUUAUUCUCUUUAUCUCAUAUAAAUAUAUCCAUCUUCUAUUUCACAUAUCUUAAAUUGUAAAUAUUUUAAUUUAAACAUCUAAUUUAUUUGUAUUGACGUAAAUUGAAAAAUAAAAUAUAUUAAUUACAAUAAUGUUUUAGUAAUACAAGUUAAAUGAAGUAAUGUGAUGUAGAUUAUUAUUAUUUUUUAAUUGUUUUUAUAAAAAAUAAAAGUAAAAUAUUUUUAUGGUAAAAAAAGAUAAUAAACAUUAUGAAUGCACUUAUAUAUAAUUUAAUUAAUUUUAUACAAAUCACAAUAUAAACAUUUAACAAUUAUAAAAUCCAAUUCUUACACAAUCGUGCUUUAAAAAUUAAUAUGAUAUUUAUAUUUUUAUAUUAAUUACGGCAUAACUAAAAUUGAUUUGUUGUUAAAAAAUUAUAUUUUAGUUAUAUUAGUUAGAAAAUAUUUAAAAACUAAAUUGAAUAUAUAUUAAUUGCAAAAACUAUGAAAAAGCUAAGCAACUUUUUCUAAAUUGCUUGUUGUAAUAAUUUUUUUUUCCAAAAAACGUUAUAAGAAAAAAAAAGAAAAUGCAUAAUAAAAAAAUGAAAUUACAUGUGGAAUACCAAUUAAAUCACAUUUCUUAUCACGUUGGUAUUAAUUGAGAGAAUAUUGAAUUGUCAGACGAUUUAUUUUGAUGUAAUUUUUCUUCAAUAUUAUGCUUUUCGCAUAAAAAAAUUAACAACAAUCAUUUCUGAACCUUGAAUUUUUAUUUGUAAACGGUGUAAUGUGAAUUAACAACCAUCAUUUUUUAAUUGUAAUUUCUAAUGUAAAGUUUGGGAAUUCGUCUUAAGCAGGACUGUUUGAAAUUUCUUCAAUUAAUCUUGGGUUCCCAGAUAAAUAUACUGCAUUAGAGCUAACUUCUGCAAGAAUUUCUUUUUUCAAAAAAAAAAAAAGAGAAAAAUCCAAGACAGAAAUUCAUAUAAUCAAAGAAAUAAUGCCUGCGGACGAUGGACCUAACCAAAAAAAUAAGAACAGUCGAAUCAAUAGGACGAUCAAACUCAAUCCAAAUUAAUAAAGUCCAAAGGCCGAAACAGAAAAUCCCAUGUCAAGCUCUUCGACAGAAAAUUUUUUUUAAAAAAAUCCCAUGUCAAGCGAAUGUGUGGGUUAACUCGAUAAUCGUAAAAAAGCAGCAGCCAUCCACUGUUUCUCUCUAUCUCUAGUAGUCAGCGACGUAUGGAAGAAUAGGGGCAUAGAAGCCCACUACAAGGGUCACAAAACCGACUAACAGCUGCAACCAUUGAUCAUCACCCGAGGCUCUGGGUCUGGGAGGGAGAGAAUGGUAGAGCUCUAAUAGACUUUUCCUUCCUCUUUAGCCUGGGGCUUUAGCUGCAUACCAGUCUUCGAUUCACCUGACGGCUUCAACCGUCCCAGAAUAAAACAUUCGUAAAAUUAUUUUGCUCUCUGGAGAAUUAAUUAGAUCAGUGCUCCAUCAAUAGAUUUUACAUAAAACAGAGGCAACUAAGAACAACUGCUACAUGCAACCCAACAACUGUAACAUGAAUGCAGACACAUACAUUCUUAGCUAUUAAUGUUAAUGAAUCAGAAAAAUCAUCCAAAUCCAUCAAUUUGAAAAUAAUGGUAAAUUUUCAAGAAACAAAGAAGCAAGCAAUCUAAUAUAAAUACAAAGUAUAUAAAUACAAAGUAAAUUGUCAUCUGCUCUCCUGCACUACCCCAUCGCCUCCCAUCCGACUACCCAAUCCUGUUCAGCUGUGAUCUCAAAUCCAAGGCUGCUUGGGGAAAACAUUGCAUGGUAUGAAGAUGGAAGGCUAGUGCUCAAUGUCUUCACAAGAUGUAUUUAUAACUCGUAUAAAUCAUCAUGAUAAACUAAAAGAAAAGGUGCUUAAAGACACUAACAAAGAUAAAACGUAACAAGAAUGAGAUGCUCAGCAGAAAGUUCCCUUUUAAAGAUAUGGUAAAAUCCUACAUUAGAAGAAAUCACCUGAAGACCUUAAAAAUACAAAUGAAAGAAUUUUCAGCCAGACAUCUGAUCCCAAAUUCAAAUGAUGAUGAUUUGUUACAAUGAAGGUGGUAAACAGCUCCAAAUUUGUUCCAGAGAAUGGCAAUCCUACCUAUGUCCACUAGCAAAAUUUCCAAUGAUUGUUGCAGUUUACGCAAGUUACAUAUGUUGUCAUAGGUUCAUCUGCACUCCUAGUCUGCAUCUGAUAGUAAGUGGUCUUGCGCUGACCACAACGACCACACUUAAACUGAUCAGUUGUAGCUUUUGGCGGACCACCACGCUCACAAUCAAAUAAUGCUUUCUCUUUGAUUUGGUUAUUUUCACGUUGUCUCUGUGCACUUGCCAUUUCUUCAGGUGUCAUUGUGAUGAGUCUCUCUGGUUUGACCUCUCCAAGCAGAACCCUUUUCCGCAAAUCAGGGUUAUUUGGGUCCUUCAUGUUGAACAUUAUGGACCUAUACUUGACCUUUUGGGCUCCAUUUGAACGACCCAUCUUUUCAAACAUUGCAGAUUCUAUGGCUACAGCAAUUCGGAUUGGGUCCCAUGCACUUACUUCAUCCCUGGCAUCCUCAUCAACCUCACUAGCAACUUUGGAUAAGGCCUCCACAAGAAGUUCACGAACUUUGUCACGUAAAGCAUCAUUGCAUUUCACUAAUGCAGUCAGCUUUGGUGGAGCAAUGGGGGCUUGUGAUGGUUUCUUUACAUUAGAAGCACGUUUCUCCUCUUUGGGCACCCUUUCAACCCUGAUAGCUUCUUCUCGAUCAAUCUUUUCAACCUUUACUGCACCUGCUUUUUGAGCCUUCUCAAUGUUAACGGUCUCUCCCAUUGAAAUCUCAGCUUUCCCUGAACUUUUAUUAUCAACAGCACCAUUUUUCUUUCUAGUGGUCUCUUCAAUAACUACCUUUUUCCAAAUCUCUAGCAAGUCAGAGGCCACAGUUUGGAUUUUUUCCCUAGGAUGCUUUGUGAGAGGUCGAAGUCGUUUACCAACCUAAAACAUCAAGAGAAAAGUUCAUGGAGAAUCCACUGAAUGUAUCAAAGUAUAUAGAAUUACAAUCACAUUAUAAUUUUGAGGUUCAAGAGAAGGCAGAAAACUAAACUACUCAGCAAUUAGUUAGGUUGAUAACAAUUAAAAAUGAUGAAAUGUCGUAAAGAGAUAACAAGCUAAAGUGAGUUGGGCAACUACUAAUAACCAAAUGAGCUUUGACAACCAUAAUGUAAAUUCAACAGGUAAGGAGGGUAAUAUCGUCUCUAUUUCAUGGUAGAUUUACAAGUAUUAUCUACGUGCAAGCACACUCUAGACAAGGCAAAGUAGACAAGCAAAGGAGUAACCAGAAAAACAAGUGUGCAUGUAAAGCAUCACAUAUAUUAUGUGACAAUUCUAUCACAAAACACUUGGUAUCUUUUGUUUCCAUAAAAACAAAAGUUUAACCAUAAAACCAAAAAGUGAAAUUCAGUUUUUGGCAACCAGAAUAGGCAUAAUGCACCAGAAGGGAGGGAAACUAUAGUCAAUGUCUAAGGAACUAUAGAAUUUAUUGAUACUUCGCUGGUCAUGAGCCUAAUGACUCCAAAGGGAUUUAGCCACAACCAGAGGAUAGUAUUAACUUGUUAGGAUUAACAGAGGUAUAUGGACGGUAUGAUAAAACUGGACUUCAAGUUUUCUUCAGCUUAGGACGUAUGAUUGCAUGAAAUCCAAAAAAGCUAGUUGCAUAUUCUCAUCCAAAAUGCUCUAUAUGAAAUUAAUAUAUUUUGAACAUGAAGUGGUAACUAGGAAAGAACAAAUUCCUUGCUCAGAAUAAACGAAUUGCAUGUGCUACUAUUUUACAGCCAAAAGUACAAAACAGAUUCCUCAUUUUUUUUGUAACUAAACAGAUCCUGAUUCUGUAACUUAUCUAUCAGUCAGAAGCAAAUUCCAACUCCCCAAUUAGCAGCUUUAAGCAAACCUACCCAAUUUAAACCAACUCACACAUGAUCGAUGACUAUAACAAAUCGACAAUACAUAACAGAAUAGAAAUUAAAAUUAUACAUGAAAAAAAGGUAGAGAAUUGAAAUUUAGAGGCAUAUACAAGUAAGGAAACUUAAUUACCUGAGUAGAUACCAAAAUAUCAUAAGUAACCGGAAACUUCUUGAGCUGUUUCAGUGCAUCGACGCACCUCACCACCUCCGGUCCAUUGGAGGAAACUCCCUCACUGGCAGCGGCAUCAGCGGCUUUCGUCGUGACCUCAAACAAUUCCACCAGCUCUAUUUCCAUCGACCCUCAGAUCCCCAAUGCUCUCAAUAUUCGCCUUUACAAUGGUGGAGAAAACAAUAAAUACGUAAGCUGACAAUCCAAUGAUAACAUUAGAAACAUAAACGAUAAAGAAUGAAAUGCAAGAGAUCCAAUAUAGAAGUUUGAGGCAGAUGAAGAAAUUGUAAUACCAGGACUAUCUGGUGAGAGAUUUCGAUAUGUGGACUCAGCCGAGGAAGUUGAGAAUUGCAGACGCUCUGUUUCAGUCAACUGGAGCCCUGCCUUGGGCUUAUUUAAAAAUAGGAACGGAUACGUGGAGAUGAUACUGAAAAUCUAAGGCCAGAAUUGGAUUGCGACCUGCGAUCCAAUGGUUUAUAUUUGCUUAGUUGGUUGAUGCAUCAGAAAAAAGAGGUCUGACGUCGGAUGUCUCCUGUCUCCCAGUCCCUGACGUCGCCGCAGCGACUAGAUAAGAUUUUCGGGUUUGGGCUACAGUUACCUGAGAAUUGGAUUGUGGGCUUGUAGCUCUGGGGAGUGCCAUGGAAAUGACGGAAAUAGCAAAGAAAGCAUGAAAACUGGUCCUUAUUUUGUUUUUAUUAUUUUUUCUCUAAUUUGAAAAGAAAAAUAUUUAAAAUGUGGAAGAAAAAAUGUGAUUUUUACGAAAAACAUUGCAAUUACUUUUAUACAAUAUAUAUAAUAAAUCAUAAAAUUUAUAUUAAUUGUUUCUCUCUUUUUAUUUUAUUCUUUUUUUAAAUAAGAAAAGUGAUUUUAUUUUGUAUCAGUAUCUCAUUUAUUUUUUCCAUCUAAAUAGAAAAAAAAAAAAGAAACAAAGUUAUCGUUUUAUUUCCACUCUUUAUUUUUAUUUUUAUUUGAAAAAAAAUUCAAACGCAACAAAAGCCCAUUUCGCAUACUUAUUGUUGGGACAGGGAUGGUUUAACUAAUAAAUAUUUUUUGACGUUUAAAAUAAAAAUAAUAAUUAAAAUUAUUUUAUUGAUAAAUAAAUUUAUUUUUCAGAAAAAAUAAUUUAUUAUUUUUAAAAAUAAAAAAAUAUUAAUAUCACUAUAUAUUUAUAAAUUUAUUAAAUAUCUUUGGAUAAAUUAAUAUAGGAUUUUUAGGUUUUAGAAAAAUUAAUUAUUAAAUUUUUAUAAUUUUUAAAGACAAUUAAAAUGUUACUCCUUAUCUUAAAAUAUAAUAAUUUGAUUUUUUUAUUAAAAAUUUUAUCAAUCAAGAUGAAAAAUGUCAAUCAAAAGAGAUAAGAGUAACUUUUAAUUGAAAAAUAGCCUCGUUCAUUCUGUCUCUCAUUUAUUUUCAAGAGAUUUUCUAAAUAAUCAAUUACAUUUCCAUCAACACAAUCUUAUUUGCAAUUUUAAUUUGUAAAAUAUAACCCAUUAAAAUAAUUUAAUUAUAAAGAAUAUAAUCCAUAUAUACGCUUUUGACUAUAAAUACAAAAGAAUAAUAAAAUUUAGAAUAAAUUGGUAAAAUUAUUGAUUAAUAAAGAUUUAUUAAGUAUCAUCAUUUUAUAAAACGUGAAAAAACUCUCGUCUUAUAAAAAUAAAAAAAAAUCUACUUAAAAUUUUAUUAAAAUUAUCAUCAAACACUAUAGAUCAGACAUUUGUAUUUUAUCAUUUCUCUUUUUGAUAACAAAAAGUACUCAUAAGACCAAUGUGCUCCCUUUAAUUUUAUCGUGCAGAGUUUCAUCUUAAAUCGAGUUAGACUAAAGAAAGCUUUCAUUGCCAAUCGCGAGCUACUCCCUCACCAAUAGUGCUAAGGACUAAGCUAAGAUCCACACGAAGCUCGUCCACAAUCCAGCCAAGGAGAAGAGAGUGAUAGAAGAUGAGGAGGAGAUGGAGAGGAAGAGAAAAAGGGAAAGAAUAUAGUAGGUAACUUUGUAAUUUUUUAACAUUCUCUCAUUUGACUAUAUAAUCAUAUUAGCAGAUUAAUAGAAAUUUUUGGCAUAAAAAUUUAAUAAUUUUAUUUUUAAGUUAUGAGCAAUAUUUUAAUUGCUUCUAAAAUUUAUAAGGACUUGAUAAUCAAUUUCCUUAAAACCUAAAAAUUUCAUAAUAAUUUUUUUAAUAUUUUUUAAUCUUUUAAAUUAUAAACUAAAUGAAAAAUAAGUUACUUUUAAAAAUAGUUUUUAUUAAUUUUUUUCAAAUAUAAAUUAUUUUCAAAUGAAUAAAACAAAUUUAAAUUCAUCAUUUAAUAUAUAAAUCCUCUAUUAUCACUUUGUUGUAUUCUCUAUAUAGUAUUAAUUAAUUUAUUAAUUUAUAGAUAAAUUAAAUAUUUUAUAAUUGAUUUAUUUGAAAGAUAUUAAUUUAGAUUAAUUUAUAAUUUAUGUUGAAUAAUAUUUAUUUAUAUUUUUUAUUAAAUAUUUAUAUUUUGAAUCAUUAUAUAAAAAAUUAAUCACUAACGAAUAACAUUUAACUAUCGGUAGCUAUUUAAAUGUUAAUAGGCCGAAUAUAGCUUAAAUUAAAUAAAUUAAAUAAUUGAUUUAAUAAUCAUAAUUUAGCAUAAAAUUGAUCUAUUUUUUAUUUUAACUAAAAUUCGAAUUAUAACGGUACAAACUUCUGAAAAUAAAACGUCUGCUUUACAAAUUACAUGAGCUAAGCUUUUAGAAUGUAGAAGAUAAGAGUAAGACGCGAACUGAGGAAAAACAUGGUCAUGAAUCAUCUGUCUCAGGGGACUGCUAUAUCUUUUGCAAAGCAGCAGGGGUAGUUUCGAGAAUCUACCAUAAAAAAAGAAAAAGACCAAAAGAAAAGGUGAAAGGGACAAUCCCAAAUCUGUAUGGCCAGCCGUAGCACGAAAGCUACCUAGCCGUUUUCUUAGUACGGGCGGGAAUGCUGUUAAUGUGGUGCUGUUGCUUACGUGGCUUUUAAUUUCAUUAUUCUUUAAUAAUUUCAUAUAAUCUUUCUUAUCACUAAUUUAAUUUAAUUGGAUUAGAUGUACGGCUAUGCUUUGUUAAUAUCGGCGUUUUCCACAUAUUUUAUUUUAUUUUAUUUUAAAAAUAUAUUUAUAUAAUGUUAAACAAACAAGGUAAUUCUACUUAAUCUGCUAAGAAAAGAUAAUUCUAUUUAAUAAUAGAGUGAAUUAUCCUAGAUUCUUUGAAUCUAUAACCUUUUUCUUUUUGUUUUUAUAUUUUGAUAUUUAUAGUAAGAAAACAAAUUUUUAAUUUUAUUUAAUAAAUAAUGUAUUUACAUAAUUUUUUAUAUUUACACUGUAAAUCUAUUAUAUUAAAUUGCCCUCAAUUAAAUUAUUUCUUCCGUUUGGAUACAUGAGUUUUUAUAAAAAUUCAAUUUAAUUAAAUUUGUUUAUUUUGAAAUUUUUAUUAAAAAAAUUUAAAUUUUUUAAUUUGAAAAUUUUUUAUUAUUUAUAAAAAUAAAUUAUAAAUAAUUUUAUAAAAAUUUAAUUUUUUUUAAAUCAUUCAUGCCAAAUACGCCAAUUGAAAGAGUUAUUUGAGAAACUUAUUAAUUAGUUUAUUAAUUUUAAAAAUAUUUUUAAAAUUUUAAAAAUAUAUUAAUUAAUUUUUAUUAAUUUUAAUUAUUAAAUAUUAUAAAAAAAUUUAAAAUAUAAUCAAUAUAAAAUAUUAAAUAAUAAAUAAUUUUAUAAAAAUAAAAAAUUAACUAAUAAAUCUUACGUGUCAUAAAAAAUAAAUAAUAAAAUAUUUAAUUAAAAUUAAUAAAAUGACUUAUUAAUAUAUUUUUAAAAUUUUAAAAAUAUUUUAAUAUAUAUUUUUAAAAUUAAAAAAUAAAAAUUAAAUAAUAAAUUUUCUUAAAUUAUUUUCGAUCUCCAUGUCACCGUCAUUCCUGCCAAAUAGAUAAAUGAUAUUUUAAAUGAUUAAAUAUGAAAAUAAAAAUAAUAAAUAAUGGUUAAUAUUAAUUAAUUAUUUUUUCAAAAAUAAAAAUUAAUUUAAUUUUAUUUAUUUGGAAGAUUAACUUUAAAAUUAUCUUUAAAUUCAAAAUAAAUUUAAUAGUGAGUUAAUCGGAUUAGCAGCUAAAUUAAGUAAGUUAAUUCUUAUCUACUAAAGAAAAAAACUUUAAUUUCUUAAAAGUUAAUAAAAAAAUAUUAAAUAAAAUCUUUUAAAUUUUGUAAUUGAGUUAAAAAAAAAAAAAACUCAUAUUCUAAAUGAUUGAGCAAAGUGAUUGCUUAUAAUUAUGAAUUUAAAAUUUAUAGCGCUAAAAUAUUUACUAUUUACUAUUUAUUAAAUAUUUUUUUUCACUCGAGAAUUGAAUAUUAUUUUUAAUUUUUUAAAUAUAUAUAAAAUAAAAUUGUCAAUUUUUACGAUAUUAUUGUUUACUAUGCAAUUAUUUUUUUUUUAAAAUUACAAUUUUAUAAUUUAAAUAACAAUAAAAAACACUUGUUUAUGUGUUUAAAUUUAGAGAGAGAGAGAGAAUUUUAUAAUUGUUUUAUAUAUAAGUGUUGAUUAUAUUUAAAUUUAAAUUAAUAAAAAAUAAACAGAAAAAACGAAACACAAUACAAAGUUACAAACACAGCAAUGAAAGAGUGGGGAUGGCUGGCAAAGACGAGACGAGAAGCCAGUAGCGACAAGAAUUGUGGUUUACCGCUCGUCUCUCUCCCUCUCCUUCUCCCUCUGUGUGUGUGUGUAUCUCACUGCGAUUUCCUCGUUCGCUCCUCGCGUCUGCUCGGCCCACGACCUUCCUUCCAUGCGUGGCCUCUCCGUCCACCUUUGCUUCUCCCAAUUAAUCUGAACUGCAGAAAAUUGCUCUCACAAUCUCUCUCUCUCUCGUACUCAGGUUUCUACAGAUCACAUGAACCAGCAAACAAAAAGCCAAUCCCUCCCUCUCAUCAUUAUAUUUCAUUUAAUAAAUUAAAAGUAAAGGAUACUGAGGCUGUGGGAGGAUGAGAUCUGAUCCGCCUGAGUCACUGUUCGUUUCUGCCAUUUCACCAUGAUUUCGUUUUCAGUGCAUUGAUAGAUUUCUGAUAUCAAUCACCUUCGUUUCUCUAAUCCCGAGAUGAUAAGCCUUCUGAUUGCUUCCUUUGCUCUCUGGUACGUUUCACUUUUUCAUCUUCUUUUGUCCCUUCUUAAAGAAAAUCCAUUAUUUUGUUUAAUUUAAGCUCAUUUUAGGUCAUAAUGGGUGCCUUUGAAAUCCGAAUCUGAAAUUUCAUCAUUGGGUUCUACGAGGACUCUGAAUUUGUUUUUAGUACGGAUGGUAUAUUAAUUCUUGCUUGUCUUGUGUGUUUUUAGUUUUGGCGCGUUUUGCUGAUACUUAGUUACUAGGCCAUUCUGGAUCGAUCAGGGAUGCGUCAACAUAUGACUAGAAUAGAAUAGAGUUUUUCAAGUUUUCUUAUUUCUUCUGCAUCUUCUCAAUCCUGUGGGCCUCCGUAGCUAAAGGCCUGUCUUACGUCCGUUUCUGCGUCUUAUGUAAAGCUCUCCCUGCAAUUGAGAAGCAUUAUCUUGUUGUAGAAGACCCGCAUUUUAUUUAUCGGUGAACACUGAGCACCUUACUUGAAGGUAGUAAGAUGCUCCAGGCAUAAGGUGAAUGUGCUUUUGUGCUGAAGUGGGUCGUAAAAUUUCAUUCAAAGGAGGCUCAGAUUCAUUUUGGCUGUCUAGUUUUGCCUGGGGUGAUCUGAGGAGAUUUUCUCCAGGGGCCAAGUACAUGCUAAUGGUCGCUUCAAGUGGGGAAAGAUUUUCGUCUGAUUCCCCAAUGCGGUCGUUGGAGGAUUAUUUAUGACUUCUGACCAUCCGUUGCUGCAGUCAUCAGAUCCCCCUGUGCCCUCACGGCCUCGCCACUCAUGCAGAUUUGGCUCCUUCGAUUGUCUCUGCCACAAUGAUUCUUUCAAUUCUUCCAUUACUGAUGACCCUCAAUACAAUCCCAUUGGCGUAGAUUAUUUGGAGAAGGGUGAGGAAGAUCUUUCAGCUGGAGACACCAGCUUCCAUAUUCCAGUUAGAGAAAGUUCCAAUUCUGCUGUAACAACGCAGCAAUUCCAUCCUGUUGAGGCUCUGCAAAUUGAGGGGUUUUCAUUGAAAUGCCCCACGCAGGAGAAUAGAUGCCUGGUAUCGUGGGGUGCAAUGGAACUGCUGCAUAGCAAUAACAAUAGCACAACUGUAGCUAGCUUUGAAAUUUCCAGGAAUGCAUCUGCAGUUCAUGCUAAGGUGGGCUCUGGGGCUUCAUCUUCACUUAACGAUAAAUUGGGUUUUUCUCAGAGGAAGAGCUGCUACAGGAGUUCGCAGUUUGAUAAUAAUGCAUUGUGCGAGGAAGAUGCCAGGUUCAUCUACAUCAAUGAUCCUAGGCGAACCAAUGAUAAGUAUGAGUUCACAGGGAAUGAGAUACGAACAAGCAAGUACACAUUGAUUACUUUCUUGCCAAAAAAUAUUUUCAUUCAGUUCCAUCGAGUGGCUUAUUUGUAUUUCCUGGCUAUUGCUGCUCUCAAUCAACUUCCUCCUCUUGCAGUGUUUGGGAGAACUGUGUCCCUUUUUCCACUACUUUUUGUGCUUUGUGUCACAGCUAUUAAAGAUGGUUAUGAGGAUUGGCGAAGGCACAGAUCAGACCGCAAUGAGAACAACCGAGAGGCCCUUGUGCUGCAAUCUGGUCAGUUCCUACUGAAAAGAUGGAAGAAGAUACGAGCUGGUGAAAUAGUUAAGAUUUGUAUUGAUGAGACAAUUCCUUGUGACAUGGUUUUACUAGGGACCAGUGAUCCUAGUGGUGUCGCUUACAUUCAAACCAUGAAUUUGGAUGGCGAGUCAAACUUGAAGACGAGGUAUGCCAGGCAGGAAACAUCUUCAGCUGUAUCGGAAGGAUGUACAAUUUCAGGUUUAAUCAGAUGUGAACAACCUAACAGGAAUGUUUAUGAGUUCACAGCCAAUAUGGAAUUCAAUGGGCAUAAGUUUUCCCUCAGCCAAUCAAACAUUGUUUUGCGAGGUUGUCAGCUAAAGAACACUGAUUGGAUAAUUGGUGUUGUGGUGUAUGCUGGGCAGGAAACAAAAGCAAUGUUGAAUAGUGCAGCAUCUCCUUCCAAGAGAAGUAAACUGGAAAGUUACAUGAACCGGGAAACACUAUGGUUGUCUAUUUUCCUUCUCAUUAUGUGUCUAGUUGUGGCACUUGGAAUGGGCCUUUGGCUUGCACACUACAAGGAGCAGCUUGAUACCUUGCCUUAUUACAGAAAGACUUAUUUCACUCAAGGGAAGGAUUAUGGGAAGAGAUACAAGUAUUAUGGAAUACCCAUGGAGAUUUUCUUCUCCUUUUUGAGUUCAAUUAUAGUGUUUCAAAUAAUGAUUCCAAUAUCUCUUUAUAUUACAAUGGAGCUGGUUCGUUUAGGACAGUCCUAUUUCAUGAUUGGAGACAGGCAUAUGUAUGACAGUGGUUCUGGCUCAAGGUUUCAGUGCAGAUCAUUGAAUAUAAAUGAGGAUUUGGGUCAGGUACGCUAUAUCUUUUCAGACAAAACAGGGACACUUACCCAGAAUAAAAUGGAAUUUAAGAGAGCAAGUGUGUAUGGGAAGAAUUAUGGUGGCUCCUUGGUUGUGGCUGAUCAGUUGCAGGAAGAGUACCUUUCAGGUAUCAAACAGGUUUUGUCUUUGCCAUUUGGUUAUCAUCUCCAUUUUGUGUGUAGUUCUACUCUUGUCUACGUAAUCAGCUACUGGAACACCAUCAUGUUUCUGCAUCUUAUUAUACGUCACAAUUUCUUCCUUUAUGCCAAUAUGCAUGAUUUUUAAGAGAACUAAAAAAAUAAAGCUAAUUCUUUUCCUCCUUUAAUAGCCCAUGCUGCUGUCCUGAACGUAUGUGAUAUUCCAUUUUUAUUCAAUUGUUCAUAGACACAUUGUCUCAUGACUACUUUUGGAAUGCACACUAGCAUCUUUUUGAGAAAUUGCUAUUUUGUCUUUAUUUUAUGCCAAUCUUAUCUUUGUUUAACUUUUAUAGCUUCCCUUAUCUUUUUCAUCAUUUGCACAGAUGCAGCUGCACUCAGGAGACAGGAACGUAAAUCUACACUCGCAGUCGAUUCUGAUCUUAUGAAAUUGUUGCACAAGGACUUGGUUGAAGAUGAGAGGAUUACUGCACAUGACUUUUUCCUGACACUGGCUGCAUGCAAUACCGUCAUCCCUAUUCGUACUUGUGAUAAAUCUUCUAGUUGUGCUGAUACUGGAUGUCAUGAGGAUGUAGAAACUGUUGCAUAUCAGGGUGAAUCUCCUGAUGAGCAAGCGCUAGUUUCUGCAGCCUCUGCUUAUGGAUAUACUCUAUAUGAACGCACAUCUGGGCACAUAGUAAUUGAUGUUAAUGGUGAGAAAUUAAGGUAGAAGGUCUUUCCUCUGUAUUCUACUCCUUUUCUUUUUAACCAUAACUUGUUUCUCAUCAUGUGAUUUUUUUCCUGUUGUUGAAAAAUUUAAAUCAUCUCUCUCGACACUCAGAUAACACUACAAUCAUUGAAGCAGACUGUAAUUUGUGCUUUUAUGCUGUUCAGGUUAGAUGUAUUGGGUAUGCAUGAAUUUGAUAGUGUGCGGAAAAGAAUGUCCGUUGUCAUCAGAUUUCCCGACAACAGUGUGAAGGUUUUGGUGAAAGGAGCUGAUAUAUCCAUGUCCAGUAUUUUAGCUGAAGACAGUGAGAGGGAUAAUCAUGUGAGGCAUACAACACAACGCCAUUUGACUGAAUAUUCAGUGGAAGGUCUACGUACACUUGUUGUUGCUGCAAGAGAUCUUACAGAGGCAGAACUGGAGCUGUGGCAAUACAGAUUUGAUGAUGCAAGCACUUCCUUGACUGAUAGAGCCACAAAACUACGUCAAACAGCAGCUCUUAUAGAAUGUGAUUUAAAUCUACUUGGUGCUACUGGCGUUGAAGACAAGCUACAAGAUGGUGUACCAGAAGCCAUUGAGUCUCUCCGGCAAGCAGGGAUCAAGGUAUGGGUUCUGACUGGAGAUAAACAAGAGACAGCAAUUUCAAUUGGCCUUUCUUGCAAACUCCUGACAACAGAUAUGGAGCAAAUGAUUAUAAAUGGAAAUUCAGAGAAUGAGUGCAGAAAACUUUUGGCUGAUGCCAAGGCCAAGUAUGGUGUGAAAUCAUCAAAUGGAGGAAACCAUAAAUUAAAAUGCAAUAAGAAUGCUGAAAUUGACUACCUUGAGAUAGCUGAAGGGAAGAAGGAAGGAAUAGUGAAAAUGCCACUAGCACUUGUAAUCGAUGGGAAUAGUUUGGUGUACAUUUUGGAGAAAGAACUGGAAUCAGAAGUGAGAAUCUCUUUUCCUUAAACUUAUAUGUUAGACUCAUGUACUGGAUUUUGUCUUACUUUUUUUAUAGAUAUUAUUUGCUUAAAGGUACACCUAUAUUCUCAAUGAUAAACUUGCUGAAUCUCUCUCUUUCCGCAGCUUUUUGACCUUGCGACUUCCUGUAAGGUUGUUCUUUGCUGUCGUGUUGCACCAUUGCAAAAGGCAGGAAUUGUUGAUCUAAUCAAGAGCCGCACUGAUGAUAUGACAUUGGCUAUAGGCGAUGGUGAGUUGUCUUGUUAUUUACUGUUUCCCUUCUAUUUCUUUUCAGUGAUCACAACUGCAUAGGCAAUUAUGGUUUGCUUUGACGUGAACUUGUUACUUUCUUUCUUUUGGCCAAUUGAAAAUUGUUUUGUCAGUUAGAUUUUAUCUGGUUGAUGUAUUGGAAAUGUGGAUGCUCCAACAUAUUGUUGCUAAUGUAAAGCUGGUCUCUUUUACUUGCUUCUGACUUUUGACAUUUUGUUAGGGGCCAAUGAUGUUUCAAUGAUCCAAAUGGCUGAUGUUGGUGUUGGAAUUUGUGGUCAAGAAGGGCGUCAAGCAGUGAUGGCAUCUGAUUUUGCUAUGGGACAGUUUCGAUUUUUGAAAAGAUUACUUUUGGUGCAUGGACACUGGAAUUAUCAACGCAUCGGUUAUUUGGUUUUGUACAACUUUUAUCGGAAUGCUGUUUUUGUAUUAAUGCUUUUCUGGUACGCAAAAGUCAUUGUCUCUGUGCUUUUGAUAUCUAGUUGUUAUAAUGUUUCUUGAUGGAAAUCAGUUUUUUUCAAUGGCUACAUGUCAUUUUAUGUCUUUUUACAAUCACACACUUCUAAAAUCUAAUCUUGUAACAUGUGUAACUAUGGGUGAUGGAACAAUACAUUAUUGUGGGAUAAUAUGCACUAUAUAUUCCUUUGCACAUCAAUCAUCCAAAAGUUUUCCAUUCCAUUUUGGGGUAAAUGGCUUGGCUACAUAACCACGGUUGUAAAAAUUGAAUAUGAAAAUUGCGUAUUGCUUAACAAAAUUGGUAGCAACUAGCAAGUCAACAUUAUGAAUGUAGUUUUCUUUGCUUUUUCUUUCCAAAAUUUUAUCUUAGAUUAGAGGUCCAAGGCUAAUUUAGCACGCACCAUUGAUGCUUAGUUGUGGUAAUGUUUAUCUUUCAAAGGAGAAUGAUGUAUUGUGGUUUUGGGUCUUGCAUUUUAUUCUAUUGAAUAAUACAUUAUUAAGAUUAUAUGUUAAGUCAAUGUGCUUUCUUUUUUGUCAAAUAGGUAUAUAUUGUGCACAGCUUUUUCAACAACUUCAGCAUUGACGGAUUGGAGUAGUGUUCUUUAUUCUGUUAUCUAUACUUCUGUGCCUACCAUUGUCGUUGGUAUUCUCGAUAAGGAUUUGAGCCAUCGAACACUAUUAGAGUAUCCUAAACUUUAUGGUGCGGGGUAUAGACAAGAGGCUUACAACAUGCGCCUGUUCUGGAUCACAAUGGCUGAUACACUAUGGCAGAGUCUAGUCCUCUUCAGUAUUCCCAUAUUCAUUUACAAAGAGAGCACAAUUGAUAUAUGGAGCAUAGGCAGUUUAUGGACAAUAGCAGUUGUUAUUCUUGUUAAUAUACACUUGGCAAUGGACGUCAAGCGUUGGGUUUAUAUUACUCAUGUUGCUGUUUGGGGGUCAGUGAUCAUUACAUUUGCCUGUAUGGUGGUAUUGGACUCUUUACCGGUAUUCCCCAAUUAUGGGUCAGUCUCGUCUUUUUAAUGGAAAACUUUUUAAGUUUUGAUAUUAUUUGGUCUUUAUAUGACUGGUUGUUAUGCCAAUACUAAUUGGGCAGGACUAUUUACCAUCUGGCUAAGUCACCGACAUAUUGGCUCACCAUCUUGCUCAUAAUAGUCAUUGCAUUGCUCCCUCGGUUUCUUCUCAAAGUUGUACAUCAUAUCUUUUGGCCUUCUGAUAUCCAAAUAGCCAGAGAAGCUGAAAUUCUGAGGAGAGGACCUGAUCACUUGAGGUCAAGAGCUGGUGGAUGUUGAAGUUGACUUGUAUAUUAAUUUUUUACAGACACACUCAUAUACAUUGAGAUGGCUUCCCUCAAGGUAACCAUGGGUUUUCCUGUGGCAUGCUGUUGUGAUGCUGAAAUGUAAGUGAAAUGUCCGCUCUUCUUAUAUGUUUCCUAGUAACUGUUCUUAUCAUGAGAUCUAUCAUAGCCAUUGAAAUGGGCAUUUCAUCAGAGUACUUUGCACAUAGUUAAUUAUCACUGUAAAAAUAAAUGGCCAUGAAAAUAAUGGAUAUUUAAAAAAAAAAAUAGGGAAAGAAAAUUGUUAAUCAUUAAGAAAAAAUGAAAGUUUUAUCCAAUUUGCAAUUUUAGCCUAAUCUUUUUGAGAAAUGAUUAAUUAUAGUCUGAACUUUCUAUUAUGAUGAGGUGCAGUUGGGUUCAGGUCCUGAAAAAAUUGACUGACACAUCAAUUAAGAUCAGAUUUCAAUAUUGUUGAAUCUCAGGUCAGUUGUGGAAAGGGAUAAUGUGCCCCUUAUAUGGGCCAUAGGCAAUCCUCCCCCUUGAGCUAGCUUUUGGGGUGAGUUAGGCCUGACCCAAAUUUAACAUGGUAUCAGAGCCUCCCUAUCUGAUAUUGGGUCUCUCAUAAAUAUGUCAUGCACCAGUAAAAUUCUAGGCGUGAGGGGGUGUAUUGAAUCCCACAUCGGUUGUGGAAAGGGGUAAUAUGCCUCUUAUAUGGGCCAUAGGCAAACCUCCCCCUUGAGCUAGCUUUUGAGGUGAGUUAGGCCUGACCCAAAUUUAACAAAUAUGAUCAUUGUUCAGUGAUUUAUCAAGAAGCCAUCAAAUUUAUCAUUAUGUGCAUGUAGUUUCUUCUUUUUAUAAGUUAAAAUACACAGAAUCAAAUAGGUUUGGUGGCCUGGCUAUGGUUGCUGAAACUGAUGAUGAAAAGAAGAAGAAGAAAGCAGAAGUUUUGAGAGAAAAUACUUAUUAUUCCCAUCAAGCCAAUUGGGGUAUAUAUACUAUUUACAAGGGUACAUACUAGAUAAGAGAAUAAAUUAAUUCCCUAAUUAUAGACUAAUAUAUCUCAAUCAUAAUCAUAUCCCUAAUUAUCACUACAAAUCUAGGCUAUUUAUAGAAAGAAUUUCAACACUUCUCCUCAAACUGGAGCGUACAUGCCAUAUGCUCCAAACUUUUUACAAAUAUAUUCGAUUCGUAAACCUUGAAGAGAUUUUGGGAAAACAUAAGCUAGUUGAUCAUUGGAGUUGACAAAGUUAGUAGAAAUGCAUCUCGACUCAAUCUUUUUCCUAAUAAUGUCAAUCCACCUCUAUAUGCUUCGUCCUCUUAUGAAAAACUGGAUUUGACGCAAUAUGGAGGGCAGCUUGAUUGUCACAUAUCAGUUUUAUUUGGCCAGUACCGCUAUAUUUCAAUUCCGCUAUAUUUCAAUUCCUGAAGGAGUUGCUUCAACCAAAUGAGUUUGCAUGUUGCUAAAGCUAUAACUAUUCUGCUUCUAUACUUGAUCUUGCAACCACACCCUUUUUUUUUACCUUUUCAGGAUAUAAGAUUCCCUCCAAUCAUAAUACAAUAUCCUGAAGUAGACCGUCUAUCUGAAGGGGAACCUGUCUAAUCUAUAUUAGAAUAGCCAACAAUUUGUGAGUGACCCUUGUUUUCAUAGAGUUGUCCCUGUCCUGGAGCUCUUUUGAUAUAUCUAACAAUGCGAAUGACUGCAUCUCUGGACUACUGUAUGGGGUUUGAAGAAAUUGAUUAACCACACUUACAACAAAGAAAAUAUCUAGUCUAGUGAUAGUGAGAUAAUUGAACUUGCCAACUAAUCUUCUGUAUCUAGCAAGAUCUUUAAGUGGCUCCCCCUGUUCAAGAACCAAUUUAAUAUUUGGAUCCAUGGGAGUGUCCACAUGUCUAUAGUCUAGCAUGCCUAUUUCUUCCAAUAUGUCCAAAGUAUAUUUUUGUUGAGAAAUUGCAAUACCUAUUUUAGACUGUGCCACUUCAAUUCCCAACUAGUACUUCAAUUUUUUCAGGUCUUUAGUUUGGAAAUGACUGAACAAAUGUUGUUUAAGCUGAGAGAUUCCAUCAUAAUUAUACAUAGACCACCAAGUAGAUGCAUCUACUGCCAUUAUGACGAAAAAAUACGGAAUGAUCAUAAUUACUUUGAGACAUUUCAAAUUGUUAAACUACAGUGCUGAAUCGUCCAAACCAUGCUUUUGGAGACUGUUUUAGACCAUACAAGAAACGUCGAAGACGACAUACUAAGCCCGACUCCCCUUGAGCAACAAACCCUGGAGGUUGCUCCAUAUAGACUUCUUCGGCGAGCUCACCAUGAAGAAAUGCAUUUUUAAUGUCUAGUUGACGAGGGUCCAGUGAUUAAUUGCAAUAGUGAGAUAAGGAGGCGAACAAAAGCUAUUUUGGCUACUGGAGAGAAAGUAUCACUGUAAUCAAGCCUAAAAAUCUGUGUGUAACCAUUAGCUACAAAGCGAGUUUUAAGGUAAUCAAUUUUGCCAUCAGGUCCCACCUUCACUGUGUAAACCCAUCGACAACCAACAGAAGACUUGCCAACUAUUAAAGAUACCAGUUUCCAAGUUUCAUCAUUAUGAAGAGCAGUCAUCUCCUCAACCAUUGCAUUACACUAACCAAGAUGAUUCAAUGCUUCUCUAACUGUUUUGGAUAUAGAAACAACAGAUAUGGUGGAAACAAAAGUAUAAUAGGAAGGAGACAAAUGAUGAUAACUCAUAAAAUUAUAAAUGGAAUAAGGAUUUCAAGAAGAGCGAAUACCUUUUCGGAGAACAAGAGGAGUAGUAGUUAUUGCUACUGAAGGCAUGACCGAAGUAGGUGAUGAUGGAACUGGCGGUAAGUCAUUAGAAGUACUUGCAUUAGGGAGAGAAGUAUCAUUGUUAUUAGCAGAUGUGUGAGGCUGACGUGUAAACCUGAAGAGGUGGUGUAGGAGUGAGAGAUGGACAUACUUAAGGCAAAGGAGAGAUAAGAGUCCAAACUUUGAUGAGGUCGAUCCUAUUGGUUGGCUGGCUGACUCGAGUUGAUCAGUAUUUCACUAUCAAUAGUACUCGAGAAGACAUAAAGUGCUGUUGGCACUGGUUUGUAUGGAAGGUAUUGCCCUUCAUUGGAUCUGUUGGAUUUGACUGUUCCCCUACAAUUUUUUGGACCCAGCUAUCGUGGGAAUUGUUGCAUCGUUAUGAGGGAGACAUGCACACUAAUCUUUAUGAGCGCUUGGCCACCAUCAGGCAGGAUACUUUGGUAGAUAAUUAUAUAGAUUCCUUUGUUGCUCUUGCUUUUCAAAUGGAAGGGGGUUACUGAUCAACAAUUUCUAAGAUAUUUCUUUUUCUAAGAUAUUUCUUAAGUGGAUUAAGGAUGAUUUUAGAGUCCGGAUUCAUUCUCAUGAAUCCAUGGAUUUAUCUCGUACCAUGGCCAUUGCCCGUGAAAUCGAAUUGGAAAAUCAGUUCCUUCAGUCGGAUAAAGUCUAUUCUUGCUCUCAUAAUGAAGGUAACAGCAGAUGGCCUUUGGGCUUAGACCGCCAAUAAAAGUGGAACCCAUUUGCUAUAGCUGCUUCUCAGUCUUCCAAACCCAAAUUUCUGGAACUUCCAGCACCAAAACCCGUGACCGCCCUACAAACAGCAACCCUAAACCUGCAACCACCUUCGCGCAGCUCCUAACCUUAAACACAAGCCCUUCCAUAACUGCUCUAGAGGCUCUUGCCAAUACACUCAUUAGGAAUUCCUUGAUUUGCGAGCGAAAGGUUUGUGUUAUAAAUGCAAGCAACCCUUUCAUCCUAUGUAUGAGUAUCCAAACAAAUCUAUUCGAGCGAUUAUCGUAGGGGAAUAUGAAGAGGCUGUUUCCAAUGAAAUUUCAGAAGUCGCUGAAAUGGAAUCAUCAGAGUUUAAUGGGAUUCAAUUGCAUAAGUAUCAUUUUUUGAACAUGGAAUUGCCCUUCUAUUAUGUCGGUGGAAUCUUCUUAUCCAAAACCAUGAAAUUACGGGGAUUAGUACAACAAAAAGGCAUCACAGUGAUGAUUGAUAGUGGUGCUAGCCACAAUUUCAUAUCAGAUCGGCUUGUGUUGCAGUUACAAAAACUUAUAGAUCACACUCCCAUUUUUGGGGUUCGGUUGGGGGAUGGCCAUCGAGUUCAAUUUUCAGGAGUUUGCCGAAAUCUUGCAAUUACCAUGUGAGAAUUUGGUAUGCUUGCUGACUGUUUUAUUUUUCCUUUGAAAGGCAUGGAUAUAAUUUUGGGCAUCGCCUGGCUGGAAACUCUUGGCGAUGUUCAAAUUAAUUGGGCAACUAUGAGGAUGUCAUUUCGCGUGGUAGGGCAACCGAUCACUCUCAUAAGCAACCCUUCUUGCACAAGAUUAGUAGUCUAAGCACAUCAUUUUCAAAAGAUGAAAGAUAUGGAAUAUGGGUUGUUAUUGUGGGAAAUUGAGUAUGAUGCACAGCCUGCUUCAUUUGGGAAAGAGAUUACCAAUGACCAGAAGCUUUAGUUAUAACAGUUGCUGAAUCCUUUUGAGGAAAUCUUUGGGGAGAUCAAUUCUCUUCCUUCAAAUCGCCACACGGACCAUGCCAUUCCAUUAAUUACUAGCGUCACUGCAUUCAAUGUUAAGCCAUAUUGAUAUAGCCAUUUCCAAAAGAACGAGAUUGAGAUGUUGGUGAACGAAAUGUUGUCUGUUGGAAUAAUCUGACCUAGCUCAAGCCAUUUUUCCAGCCCUUUUUUACUGGUGCGGAAAAAAGAUGCUAAGUUGGAGAUUUUGCAUGGAGUAUCGCGCCUUGAAUAAGGCAACCGUACCCAACAAAUAUCUUAUUCUAGUCGUAACAGAGCUGUUGGACGAGCUUCAUGGCCCCAGAUACUUCUCUAAGCUGGAUUUUAAACCGUGAUAUCAUCAAAUUAGAGUGCAAGAUCCCGAUAUACCCAAGAUGGCAUUCGGCACACAUUCCAACCAUUACGAAUUUGCUGUCAUGUCGUUAGGGCUCACAAACACACCAGCCAUGUUUCAAGCCACUAUGAAUGAUCUGUUCAACUUCAGGCCAUAUCUGCAGAAAUUUGUAUUGGUUUUUUUUACGACAUUUUAGUAUACAGUAAAUUACGGGUAGAGUAUCUAAUACACCUUCAAAUUAUCCAGUUCCUACUACAGGAACAACAGUUCAUAGUUAAUAAAAAGAAGAGUGUGAUGGGGAGAACUGUAAUUAAGUAUUUGGGCCACAUUAUAUCCUUCCAUGGAGUUGCAAUGGAUCCUUCCAAGGUAUCUAAUGUGCUUAACUGGCAUGUACCAAGAACAAUUAAAGGAGUAAGAGAAUUUCUCAAAUUAACUGGAUACUAUUGCCGGUUCAUCGGGAGAUACGGUAGCAUUGCUAGGCCAUUGACUCAAUUACUUAAAAAAGAACAUUAGGAUCGCUUGAAUUUGACAUAGCUUGCCUAGAAAGCAUUUAUUAUCUUGAAACAGGUUUUGGUGACUUCCCCUUGUUGGCUACCCUGGAUUUUUCUAAAACCUUUAUUGUCGAAUGCGACGCAUCAGGGUGCAGUUGGGAGUUAGAAGAAUAAAAUUUUUUGUUGUUGUUCUCAAUAGAGAUUAUAAUCUAUUUAUACAUGAGAGACCGUAUCUAAAUAGGAAGGAAAAUCAAGUCUAUGAUUAUACAAUUCUAAGAUUAAGUAACUGAUCCAUCUAUCAAUAUUUACUUCCUAUAUUAACAUAUUUACUUUCUAUAGCUUAUAACACUCCCCCUCAAGUUGGAGUAUAAAUAUUAAUCAUACCCAACUUGUUACAUAUAUAAUCAAUUUCAGCUAUAAGAACAACCAACCCAAAACAAUCAAAAUAAACAAAAAAUUAGAAGAACAGAAUCCGUGAACAGUAAUCGAUGAACAGUUCCGGUGAACAAUACCCGAUGAACAGUGUUCAAUAUCUCCAAAUGUUACCCUUUAUGGGUAAUCCAAAUGCACAGAAUCCUAAAUCUCUAAAUGUUACAUUUUAUGAGUAAUCUCGAUAAACAGAACUCUAAGUCUCCAAAUGUUACUCUUUAUGGAUAACCCAAAUGAACAGAGUUCUAAGUCUCAAAAUGUUACCCUUUAUGGGUAACCCUGGUGAAUAGACCCUAAGUCUCCAAAUGUUACCCUUUAUGGGUAACCCCGAUAAAUAGACCCCUAAGUCUCCAAAUGUUAUACUGAACAGAGCCCUAAGUCUCCAAAUGUUACCCUUUAUGGGUAACCCCGAUGAACAGAGCUCUAAGUCUCCAAAUAUUAACCUUUAUGGGUAAUCCCGAUAAACAGAGCCCUAAGUCUCCAAAUGUUAUUUUUUAUGGGUAACCCAAAUGAUCAGAGCCCUUCCAAAUGUUACUCUAGAUAACAAAAAAUGAACAGAGCCCUAAAUCUCCAAAUGUUACCCUUUAUGGGUAACCCAAAAUCAUGUUUUACCUGUUUCAGUAGCACAGCCGCUACUGAAGACGUUGAGAUAAUUUUAAUAAUAUGGGUCUGACUGUCAAAAACCAUCUCAACCAAAAUUCUAUACUCAUUUACCUUGAAACGAAUUAAAGGAAGAUAACGCAACACCCAAACGGCAAACGAAUCGCAGAUCUGAUCCAAACGGCAAAUGAACCACAGAUCUGAUAAGCGGGUUGCAAAGCAACUUCGGCGUCCUUUCUAAAUGGACGAUGAGAGACAAAUAUUACCUUAAAUGGGUAACACAAAAGAAUAGGAGUCUUAAGUCUCCAAAAAUUUUAAAACUUGACGAGAGAGAGAAAUUAAAUCUCUACAAGAAUAGCUCUGAUACCGUGUAGAAAAAUAAUAUUUGUUGUUGUUGUUUUCAAUAGAGAUUACAAUCUAUUUAUACAUGAGAGACCGUAUCUAAAUAGGAAGGAAAAUCAAGUCUAUGAUUAUACAAUUCUAAGAUUAAGUAACUGAUCCAUCUAUCAAUAUUUACUUCCUAUAUUAACAUAUUUACUUUCUAUAGCUUAUAACAGGGAGCAAUUCUCAUGCAAGACCGUUGACCAAUAACUUAUUUCAGUAAAGUUCUUGCAACUAAAAACUUGAUAAAGCCCACAUAUGAAAGGGAAAUGAUGGCUCUGGUUUUGGCUAUUCAUCAAUGGAGGCCUUAUCUAUUGGGCAAAAAGUUUUUGGUCCACAUUAAUCAAAAGAGCUUAAGGCAACUCAUGGAGCAGCAUACCAAUAUUCCAGCAUAGCAGUAUUAGAGUGUUAAACUGUUGGGGUAUGGCUUCAAAGGUAUCUAUAAGCCUGGUGCUCCAACCUCAGCGGCCUGACACUUUGUCUCGAAAAAAGAAGGGAAUGGCAUUGACAGCAAUGAGUUGUUCUUAGUGGGUCGAUUAGGAUAUUAUUGCUCAAGAAAUAGCUUCAAACCCUCAAUUACAAUGUGUCAUUCAAAGACUGAAAGAUCAACCAGUUGGCCUUAGUCCCUAUUCUUUGAUUCAAGAUCGUUUAUUUUAUCUGGGCAGGAUUGUGUUACUAGCUAGCUCUUCUUGUAUUCCUAAACUGUUGGCUAAAUUCCAUUCCUCCCCAACCGGGGUCAUUCGGGAGCUUUUUGGACAUACAAGCGCUUAGCUGCAAAUAUGUGUUGGCCUUGCAUGAUGAAGGUAGUCCAACAUUUCGUUUCAGAAUGUUUGAUAUGCCAAUGAAAUAAAUAUGAGACCACUUCAGUGAAAGGUCUUUUGCAACCACUCCCUAUUCCUACCAGAAUCUAGGAAGAUAUUUCCUUCAAUUUUAUCACAGGUUUUCCUCAUUCCCAAGGAGCUGAGGCAAUUCUAGUUGUGGUAGACGAUCAUCGAAAUGUGCUCAUUUUAUUGCUUUGAAACAUCCCUAUUUUGCAGAGUUGGUAGCUGAAAAAUUCGCAAAAGAAAUAGUUCGACUUCAUGGAAUGCUCAAAACAAUUGUAAGUGAUCGUGAUUCAAUUUUUACGAGUAAUUUUUUAUCUGAGCUGUUUCGAUUACAAGGAACAAAACUCACCAGAAGCGCAACAUACCAUCGGGAAAUGGAUGGACGAACAGAGGUCAUGAAUCGGGGAUUGGAAACAUACUUGCAUGGUUUCACUGUAGAACAGCCCAAGCAAUGGCUUAAAUGGUUGAGUUGUGUAGAAUUCUGGUGGAAUUCGAGCUACCAGAUAGCUGCAGGUAUGUCUCCAUUUGAGGCUAUUUAUGGGCGACCCCNNNNNNNNNNNCCCGAACACCUUCUCUGCAAUAAUACCUGCCUGGCAAAACCUAAGUUGAAGCGGUAGCUCAAGAACUUGAAACCAGAGAUGAGCUUUUGAGGCAAUUAGCUUAUAACUUGAGAAGAGCUCAACAACGAAUGGAGUGUGCCGCCAAUAAGCACAUAAGAGACGUUGAGUUUAAUAUGGGAGAAUCUGUGUUCUUGAAAAUAAGACCUCAUCGCCAAGCAUCACUGAAGGGAGUUAUUCAUACAAAAAUUUCAACACGUUAUUAUGGACUGUUCUGGAUCAUUCAACGGGUGGGAAAGGUUGCUUAUCGGUUACAGCUACCUAUGGAAGCAAAAAUCCACCCAGUAUUUCAUGUGUCCCAACUGAAAAGGGUGGUCCAACAGCAUACAAUGGCUACUGAGUUACCUCACGGAUGGGAAGAAAUCAGACAGACAAUUGAACCCAACGCUGUGUUGCAAACCAAAAGUGAAUUGAUUAAUGGCUCGACACAAACUCAGCUAUUAGUUAAAUGGAAGGGGUAUCCGGUUGAGGAGGCUACCUGGAUGAAUCAUUCGGAUUUUAUCAACCAAUUUCCAACUCCAGCUUUGAGGACAAGGCUCUUCCUUUAGAAGAUGGCAUUGAUAGAAGCAGGCUGAACAAUCCCUCUACUGAGAUAGGCCCAAAGCCGCAGGGCCUAAGGGUCUAUUAUAGGAGAAAAUUCAAGGAUAAAAGCAACAUAGAAAUGGUUACAGAAGAAUCCAGAAUUGAACAGCUAGACUAAAGGACAAAUAUGCUGUUAGAAGGAAUCAAUGAGCAAUCGUGAGGAGAAUGUGAGCAAAUCACAAUCUCCUUGUUAUAUAAAUAAUGUGAUGCACUAGGGAAGGCCAUUAAGAAUUUUGAAUUUGUUUCUUCGGCAUUUUUGCUGGGUUAGCUCUAGGCUGGACAGGAGAUAAUUCCUGGUUUUGUUUUCUUAUUGAGUUAGAGGGGCGGGUGAGAGAGAUUGUACUGCUGGUUUGUGUUCUGCAAUAAAAAAACAAUACAAAUACUCUGUUCUUCUCUGUGACUUGUUCAAAUAUUAAAUUUUAGGUUCCUUACUCUACCAAUUAAAGAGCUUAGGUUUAAGUUGUUAACUCUUCUAAUAAAGUAUAUUGUGCAAACAUCUUAAGCCUUUAUUUUGGUUUAAUUGAUUUUGGAGCUUUAUGUAUGCUGCCUUGCAAAUAAAGCACAUGUAAACAAGUGCUGUAAAUCUAAUUUGUUAGCUUUGCCAUUUGAGGUUGGAUUGCAUUCAAAUGGUCCACUUGAAAGAAAAUUGGUGAAACAGCAAAUUCGAAAUCAAAGCCAAGGGAACCCAGCUAGUACAAGUGAGGAUUGGCUAAAUGUUCUGAACUGUAGUAACCCACACAAGGUUUUGACAACAGUAGGGAGUUUGCUUUUGAAUGUUUUGGAUGAAUGAGACGCAAUGAACAAUUAACCUGUGAUUCACCAACUCUUUUAACUUUUCAUCAUAAAUGGCUGUGAUUUGUACAUUCACAGAGAAGAAGACUAGAGGUGUGUCGGGAGAAUUUAAUGUUUAUUUUCUUUCUUUCUUGGAGUUACUAAUAUUAAAAUCAGUUAACCAGAAUGCUUUAUACAUGUUACUAGAUGCAGUGUCUUAAAAAUUUCGAGUUUCUGCUUAAUAAACUGUUCUAGAACUAUAUUUUAAAGACUUUGUAAUAUUUGCUGUAAACUUUUAUCCAUCAGAGACUAUAAAAGAUUUAAAUUGUAGUUAUGCUUCUUUUAAGUUUUUUGUUUAUUGCAACUCAAAGGAUAGAUUAUUGUAGCAGAGAUGUAUUGGAUGCUUCUAGAUGAAUACUUCUAGAUGUGAUGUUCUUAUUUUUUUUGCUUUAUUUUCUUGAUGAUCUCUGAUCAUGUCCUUAGGUAAGUUAUGCAAAUGGGAUUUGUGCCAACAAGAGGAGAAAUGAUGCCGCAUUCGACCGCACAGCAGAGCAGCAUCACCAUGUACAGGAUGAAAGGAGGACGGGGGAUGUUCUACACUAAAACAGAUUGGUGGUGCUUACAGAACGGUAUUUGCAUGAUUAAGGCAAGUGAAUGUAUGAUGGAUGAGAGUUGGAAAACUGCUCUAGAAGAUAGAACUUGACCAAUGUGGUUAUUUAUUAUGCAGAAGAAAAGAGAUAGUGGUUAGUUAGAGCUUAGAGGUGACGUGAAGGACCUGAAGUGGUCCAAAGAAGAGAAAGAGAAAGAAAAUGAAGUAUAUAAUAUUAAUAGUGGUUCCAUUUCUUUUUUCUGGGUGGCAAAGAUCAAGUUGUAAAAUUAUUUUCUUCUCCUCCACUAAUAGAAUUUGAGCAGAUUGAAAGCCAGCCCCUGUUCAAUAUCUUUCAUAGAUGAGAAUCUUUUACUUUUUCAAGUCAGUGGCAGUACCUGGAUGGCUUCUGCUGAUGUAGAUCCGAAAUCGGAUUUUCGUCGGGCUAUUUACUUCACCUUACUGAGGUGGUUACGGUUGCUUUGCCUCUGCUAUCCAUUAUGUCUCAAUUUGAGGAAUUGCAGAUUUAGCCAUCAAAUUAUUGUAUACAUCUGAAACUUCUCAGUGGACUGCUUCAUCUUGCUCAAAAAUUAACCUGUUAAGUUCCUUGAAUUUACGAAACAUGAUCGUUUUUCCCCUUUUUUUUGCGGGUAAAAUAAAUUUCGUAUUUUUAAAAAUAGAUUCAAAUGUUAUUAAUAUUUUUACCUAUUGGUUUAUUUUUAACUCACAUUAGUUAAAAAUAAUUUAGUAAAAAUAAAAACGUUAAUAAUGGUAAAAUUUAUGAAUAAAAUAAUAAUUUAUUUUGAAUAGUAUGAAGAUAUUUUUAUUUUUGUUUUUAUGUACAAAUUUAACAAUACAUAUGUUGAAAAUAAGUGUAUUAUAAAAAUUUAAAAAUAUUUUAAUUUAUUUUUUAAAAUAUAAAAAUUUAAAAUUGAUGGUAACAAAUCAUUAAAAAUAAUUUAUCUGCGAAGAAUAUGUUUCGUUAAAAUGAGGUUGAUGUAAUGCGACUCAAAAGCAAGAAAAAUAUCUUGCCUAAAAAAAGACAGAAGAAAGAAAAGCAAUGGGUCCAUUCUUAAAUUAGGGAAAAAUAAUUAUUUAUUAUUUUAAAUUUUAGUAAAAUUUAAUAAAAUAUAUUUAAAAUAUUAAAUAUUUUAUUAUUUAUUCAUUAUAAUAUAAAUAAAAUUUAUUAAUUAAUCUUUUAAUUUCAUAAAAAUUAAAUUAAUUAAUUUUAAUAAUUAAAAUUAAUUAAUAAAUUUUUUAAUAAUUUAGAAAUAUCUUAAUAUAUUUUUUAAAAUUAAUAAAUUUCACUUCAAAUAGGAAUGCUCUCAUCAAUUAAAAUGGUGAAUGAAGUGGGAACAAUAUUCAAUUUUGUCUUCUCUGUUUGCCCAGACGAUAAAAAUCUGUGAGUUGCUGAAACUUAAUUUACCGAGGUUAUUUUUUUUCUUUUUUAUAAAAAAUUCCAAACUACAAAAUUUUAUAACCAAUAGCUAACGUUGAGCCACCAAACAAACCUGCAUUUCUUGUAUUUAAAUAAAGUUAUAGCUACCAUAAAUAGCAAAAUUUAAGUGGAUGUUUGGAUGGAAGGAAAUAGGUAUAAUUUUAAAAAAAAAAAAAAAAAUAAUGAGUUGUUUUGACACUGGGAGGAAAACACUAGAAAAAUUGUUUUUUAAAUAAGUCUAAAUAUUUAAAAAGAGAAUAACAAUAUAGAGAUAUAUUUAUAAUUUGAAAAUAGAUAUAAAUUAUAAAAUAUUUUUUCCUUUUAUUCAAAUAAACUUAAAUAUAAAAUAAAAUAAUUUUAUCUUUUAUCUAGGUGUAAAAUAAAUAAUUACAUCUGAGCUCUCAUGACAUCCAACUCAGAUUUUAGCCUUUGAAUGAAUAUUUUAAAAUUUUUGGAAGUUAAGUGUGAACUCCUUCACACGGCAUAUCACCAACCCAUUUGGUUACAGAUUCGUCCUCUAACUACACAUUGGAUAAUUAUAAAAUGGUUAUAUUAUAUUUCAUUAUUUAUCCACAUAUUAUAUAUAUAUAUUCUUAAGCAAUUUUAAUUUAAAAUAUAUAUAUAUAUAUAUUUCCCUUGAAUGUGGAAAGUAAAAAAGAAAAUACCAUUUCUAUUAUAUGUUAUUUAAAAUAUUAUAAUAAUUUUGUCGUUAUUUAUUUUGAAAUGCUAUUUUUCUGCUCAAUUUAGCAAAUAAAAUAAGGAAUUUAGGCAAAAAAGAGCUUUUUCUAUGUGCUAUGAACCUAUAUUUUCUUAUAUUUAUUGUUUAAUUCUUAAAUUGAUUUUAUAUUAAAAUAAAAAAUUUCCCUUUUUUUAAAGAAAAUUUUAAAAAAAUCUUUGAACAAGUUUAAGAACAAAAUCCCACUUAAUUUUAUAUAUUUAAACUAAAAAAUUUGAAAAUUUAAAAAUAAAAUUAAAAUUUCAUCAUCUUAUUUAUUAAGUUUUUUUUUUUUACAUUUUUAAUGAAUUGAAUAAAAAAUGUAUUGCAUCAAAUUUAAAUUUUAUAUUUCUAAUUCUCUUAUUAAACGUAUUGUAAGCUUUUCAAAAUGGAUUAGUUUUUUACACUAAAAUAUAAAUAAAAUUUUCUAAAUAAAUAAGAGGACAUAUUAAACGCAUUUCAUAUAUAUAAAUUUUCGUUAAUAAUUUAUAUAAAAUAUAUUUACUUUUAAAAAAUAAACAUAAUAUUACUGUACCUUUAAAAUAAAUUACUAUUUUAGCAUAGUCUAUUUUAAUUUUUCUCUUUUUUAUAAUUUUUAUUUUUCUUUUUUAUAUAUAAUUAAUUUAUAAAAUAAAUUUUUUUUAUGAAUUAUGAAAAAUAUCUUUUAAUAUUUAAUAAAAUUUAAAAUUUUUUAAAGUAAUAUGAUUAAAAAAUUAAUAAAAUUAAUUAUUUUUCAAGUAUGUAGAUAAAUUCAGGUCUCUCUGUGACUUCAAAAGAAUUAAUAUUCUAGAAUUUAACAACCGGAUUCUUGUCUUACUAACGUUCCAAAAAACACCCUCAUUUUACAGUAGACCCCACAUUAAAAGAAAAUUCAAUUAAGGGGCAUUAUCGGUAUAUUGCAACUAAAUUUUGUAAUCCUCUUUUGUCCAAACAAACAUGGAAAAAUGUCGGGACCCAACCACUUGGUUUAUUUUAUUAAAGAAAAACAGGUGGCAGAACAAUGAACCACCCUCGCUGAUGUCACCAUUCUGACAUCACUUCCUAUUCGUAAGCCGAGGGAAAACCUAAAUUAUACCACGCGCUAUUCACGUCACGCGCUCAACUUGCACUGAUGAAAGGAAGAGACGAAUGAAUAUUUCGAAUAGAUACCGCGUGGUCCACCUCUUUCUCGCUAAGCGCGCGUGGGUAUUGCAGUCUCCUCCAAGGAGAGAAAUUUCCUUGUAGGUUCAUUUAAUCUUCACCCCUUUUACAACGCUGUGUACUCUCCACUCUCUCUAUUAUCUUCCUAUGAUAAAAGGUCUCUAAUAUCCUCCUACACUAUCGCUAACUAAUUUAGUAGAGAGUAUCGUAGACUCGCCGAAAAUGGAAUCCUGUUGGCCGGAAAACUUGCCGUCAGAUAGGAGAAAAGCGAUCGAUGAGCUGGUUAAAGGUCGCGAAUUUGCUAACCAGCUUAAAGCUUUCCUUUGCGAUUCCGCUGGAGAUGAUGGAUCUAUGACUGCUGAGGAUCUUGUAGUGAAGAUCUUGAAUACUUUCACCAGUAGUCUUUCUAUAUUGAAUAGAGUUGAGACUGAUGCGGUCUCACAAUUUCCGGCGAGUACUCAAGUAGGUUCGCCUUUUUGGGACGGCCGGAAGUCUGAAGAUUCCGAGGAGAGUAGUAAAAGUACUUCCACAAGGAAGGAUCGGAGGGGAUGCUACAAGAGGAGGUAAUAAUAUUAAUAUUAUUCAUUAUAAUUUUCAUACAAAUAAUAGAUUUGAGCAAUCCUAAUAAACUGAAUUUCAUCUAAACAAAGAUAAUUAAUUUUUUAAAAAAACUUAUAUACUAUUACGAUUAUUAUAUAUGAAAAAUAAUUAAUUAUUUGAAUUAAUAGUAUUUUUUAUAUUAUUAAUUGUAACAAAAAAUUAAUUUUAAAAUAAUUUUUUUAGUACAAUAUUACAUCUAUUAGUAUUUAUUAAUACUAUUUUUAAUUAUUAUUUUGCUAUUUUCUAUAUAAUAUUAUAUAAUCUCAUCUCUUACCAUCUAAAAUUAAUAAUAAAUACCAUAUUUAAUAAAUUUUAACUAGUAUUCCAUUUUUUUAGAAAAAUAAAUUUAGUCUAUUUUCAUUAAAUUUAAUGAAUAAAGAUGUAUUGCUUAUUGGAAAAAUACUUUUACUCAGGAAAAGAUAAUCUUAUUUAGUACAAGUAUAAUAAGCUUAUAUUUAAUUAUUAAUUAUGAUGAAAAUAAAUUUAGUUAAUGAUUACAAUAACAAAGAAUCUAUUCUAAAUUAUUUUAGACAAUUGGGUUACGAAACCAAAUUGCAUUUAUAUAUAAUUAACAAUUUAAAUGAAAAUUUUGCAACUUGCAGAAGGACUUCCCAAUCAUGGGUAAGAGAGAGUUCUGUUCUAGUGGAUGACGGCCAUGCAUGGAGAAAAUAUGGACAGAAAGUGAUCCUAAAUGCUAAACAUCCAAGGUAUCAUCAAUCAUUUCAAUUAUUCACAUAUAUAUUCUAUUUAUUCACUUAAUUAUUAUUAUUUUAAUUUCUUUUAUCUGUUUGGGUUGGCAGGAACUAUUUCAGGUGCACUCACAAAUUCGACCAGGGUUGCCAAGCAACGAAGCAAGUUCAAAGAAUUGAAGAUGAACCUCCGAUGUAUCGAACCACAUACUACGGCCACCACACUUGCAAGAACUUGGUCAAGCCUUGUCACCUUUUCUUGGACGCUUCUGAUGAUGCAGAUGCUACUGAAUCUUCCAUGCUAUUAAGCUUUAACAGCAGUGCCAAUGGCAAUGGCCACCUGCAUCAUGACCACCCCACAAACAAACAAGAUACCCCAAUUUUCUCAUCCUUCCGAUCAAUAAAACAGGAGUACAACAACGAAUUGCCACGUAAUGAUGAUCAUCAUCUGACCCACAAGCAAUCAUCUUCCUCUGAUUAUCUUGUCACGCUUGAAGAUACAUUUGAUCCUGCGGAUGUGAUUUCUGGGGUUAACUCGUCUUGCUCCACUAGCACUACUACUGCCCAUCAUAGUUCGGACAUUGAUAUGAUUGGGACAUCUGUUCAUAAUCUCUUUGAUGAUGGUUUGGAAUGUUACUUUGAUUAUCAGUAGAAAAUUAAAUGUAAUUUCCAUGUAAAAAUUAGUUUUAGUUAUCAGGUAAUUACUUUUGCGUGCUUAAUUAUUGUAAACUAUACAUAAGCUCCUUUAAUUAAGUGUGACGCAGAACCUUGUUCUUGUGCAAUAUUUAAUUAAAUAAGUAGCUGCUUUAUCACCUUUUUGGAUUCUUUAAUUUUUACGUGAAAUAACUCUUAAUUUCAUCUUUAAUUUCUUGUAAAAAAUAUUAAAUUUAUAUAUUGAAUUUUUCAAGAGACAGAUGAAAUGUAUGAUAAGGUAUUUGUCAAAUCGUUUUUCGUAAAUAAUUUUUCUUCUGUUAAGAUAAAUACUCUCGAUAUUUUUAAGAAUGUAGAAUAUUUAAUAUUAUAUAUAACAUCAAAUUAAAUAAUUAUUUAAAAGGGUGACUUUUUAUUAAAAAUGAUAAAAAAAAAACAAAAGAUAAUCAUUAUCUAUACUAUAAUACUCCAUGAUAAUUCAAAGGGAAAAAUUAUUUUGUCAAACAUUUAAUUCUCCAUUCAUUUGUCUACAAUAUGAAAAAUUGAAUCCACCAAUUGGGAAUUAAUUAAUUAAUUAUUUAGAAGCUUCAAAGUAAGAGAGAGAGUAGUUGAAAUUAGUUUCUUAGAAUAUAAAUAAUAUGAGGCCACAAGAAAAUUGGUGGAAGUGACAUCGUUUUAAUUUGCAGAAAAUUCAAGCCAAUUUAAUUAAUGAAAAUUAAUCGAUCCACAUAUGAAGGUGACGCCCCACGGUAUCAACCCUCCAUUGCGUUAUUCUUCUCUUGCUCCCAAUAUGUUUCACUCUUUUUGUUUUUUUUUUUUUCUUCUAAAUUUUAAUUAAUUGAUCUCAAAAUUUACCAAUAAAUAAUAAAAAACUGGCAUAUCAUCGUUUAUUAUUUUUAAUAAAAUAAUUAACUAUGGGAUUACCAAAUAAUUUUGAAGGAUAAUACAACCAACAACUUGGACUAUAUUUUUCUAUUUUUAUUUAUAACAAAUAUUAAGGUCAUUCAUAAAAUAUGAUGCAAUGAAAUUAAGUUUGAAUUAAAGUCUAAUAAAUUAAUUAAUUAGCAAAAAGAAUUGAAGAUGGGAAGGCAAAGCGUGGAAGAGUCGAGAUGGAGAGAGGGAGAGCACAUGGUGGAAAAAGGAUAUUAAAAAAGCAGAUGGAAAGAGAAACGACAAGCUUUCACCAUCAAAACGUCAAUCAUCUUUUCAAAUUUGAAAAUUUUAAUUAAUUUUGAUAUAUAGUGUGAACGUGAGGAAAGGGAGAAUGACUAUGUUAAUAUCCCAAUUUCUCAAAUCCUCGCCGAGAUGAGACCGAUUUGUGGGUCUCACGUCUCUCUCCUUUGCUUUCAGCCGAUGACAGACAGAUUUAGAUAAGUCCCACCGUUCCAAGUUGUGUUUGAAUUCAUUUUAGUAUUGUUUAUUUAGAGAUGAGAAUAUUAAUAUUAAUUCGUGUUUAUAUAAUUUUGAUUUUAAAAUUUUAAUAUUAAAUCAAAUUUGAGGAUGAAAUGGAAAAAAGAAAAAGUAAAUUACUAUGAUUGUUGUGGAAGGGGGAAGAGUUAGGUAGUGGUGGUGAUUUGGAAGCUGAAAAUAUUUCUGAAAAGCAAAAUGAAAAGGAGAAGGUUAACAGCUCACAGCUGUGAAUUCUGAAAAGGAGAAUAUAAAAAGUUUCCAAUAUAAACAAGACAAGAGGCAACAGCCCUACCACACAAACCCAGGAUUUCUUCAUUGUAAAUCAUCUUUGUCUUCUUUUUCUUUGAUUUUUCAGAGUGCACCUGGUCAUGGUGGUGUUUUCACCGAGACCCCUGUAUUGUGACCCUGUUGUUGUGGGUCUCUUUCUAAGUGUAUUUCACAUUAAUGUUCAACAAAAUUGAUAUAUAUAUAAUAAAUUAGUUGAAUAUCUGCCCUAACUACAUUUGGCCCAUGGGCUCCAUAGAAUCAGAAAAUCGAACCAUUAACAGUUUAAAAUACCCAAAACUUUUAAUCCAGUUGACAACUUGAAAUGAAUUUAGCUCUCAUUCUUAUGCAUUAGUUAUAUGAAUUAAUAAAAACGCUGUGAAAACUCAUGGGUAUAACUGUAUUUGGUAGAUAGGCAAACAUGCUCAUAAACAAAAUGUUAUGUUAUAUGAAAAUGAAAGAAUGUGAAAAAUAAUUAAUAAAGAAAAUAUAAGUGGCUCUACUGGAUAUUUUUACCAGGCUUACUCAGCCCACUUCAUGUAUAACCAGGCUUUGAGAGGCCUUAGUUAUAGAGUAAAAGGCCUGGCAGACAGUUGUGGUGUUAUUAUCUUCGCUCUGUUCUCUGUAGCUUGGUCAAGUGUUACUGUCUUUGCUUGUGACAAACCUUAGAAAAUAAAAGAAAAAUGUUGGAAUCUUUGCCAAUUAGCAAUCAUUAGCUUCAUAGAAGAGACUGGAGCUGGAGCGAAGAAAAGAAGGAGAACAUUUUAGGAUAAUCGAAGAUGGAAUUCAGAGAAAUCCGGUGCUCUAGAUUAAGAUUUGUUGUAGGCUUAGUGUUGUGCUGCACAAUAAUUAAAGAGGUAAGUGCCUCGAUUCAUGAGUACCGAAACGAAGCUUUUAUUCCACGCUCCGAUGGCUUCUUCUUCCAUGGCGGCAGUGAAGGCCUCUACGCUUCUAAGGUUCAUGAUUCCUCUUCUUCUUCUUCUCCUGACAAACCCCUCCAAGGAAAGUCCUUCAUCAGGUUCCGUCCUUUAUUUAUUUAUUUUCAAAUUUUAUGAAUUGACUUUGAGCUUUUUAAUUUUCUGCCUUUUCUGCUAUUUCUUUUUUGAUUUCUUAUGAUAGUUAGAAUUCGUCUUCUUCUUCAUUGGUUCUCUCUCUCUCUCUCUCUCUCUCUCUAUGUAUAUACAUGCUGAUUGCUAAUUUUAAGUUGUGAUCAAGUGGAUAAUCAAGUAAUUAAAUGCUAUUUAGUUAUGGGUUGUGAACUCAUGAUCAUCAUGUUAAAUGUCACUCGAAUUUUGGAGAUUCCUUUUUAAGAACACUUGAAUUCUAAAUAUGGUUACAAAAAAUUGAUGCUUUUAUACUCGUGAACCACUCAUUUAUACUCCCCUUCCUUAGUAGGACAUUGGGUCGUUUAUUGAUUGCAGGUUUGAAGAUGUCACCUUUGUGAGGACAAAGGAGGCUGCCAGUAAGCAGAAUGAAAUGCAGCAGAACACUGGAUUGAUAGAAGCCAUCAUAUUUGAGGUGAAAGACAGGGAAAAGAUUGGAGGGGCAUUCCUAAAACUUAAUGCCAUAUGCUGUCACCCUGCUGUUGCUCAGACCGGAUCUUGUAUGCUGGGAGAGGUAAUUAUUCAGAAAGACCAAGACAACCCAGAAUGGCCUAAACGCAUUCAAACAUCCUUUGCUGGAAAAAAUGAAGAAACUAAAAUGAAACCUGAAACGGUGGAAAUAAAUAGUACUGGAAUGUACUACCUUUAUUUCAUGUUUUGCAAUCCAGACCUUAAGGGCACCUUGAUCAAGGGGAGAACUGUGUGGAAGAACCCUAAUGGUUAUUUACCUGGGAAGAUGACUCCUUUGAUGACAUUUUAUGGAAUUAUGUCUUUGGCUUACCUUGCACUAGGACUAAUCUGGUUUUUGAAGUUUGUUCAAUACUGGAAGGAUGUUAUACAGCUGCACUACCACAUCACAGCAGUCAUUGCACUUGGAAUGUGUGAAACGGCUGUUUGGUAUUUUGAGUAUGCCAAUUUUAAUUCGACUGGAUUAAGGCCAAUGGGUGUUACAUUGUGGGCUGUGACCUCUAGGACUGUGAAGAAGACCCUAUCUCGCCUACUCCUUUUGGUUGUCUCUAUGGGGUAUGGUGUAGUAAAGCCAACCCUUGGGGGUUUAACAUCAAGAGUGGUUCUUCUUGGUCUGAUAUAUUUUAUUGCCUCAGAGGCACUUGAGCUUGUUGAACAUCUAGGGAACAUCAAUGACUUGUCUAAGAAAACUGAGCUAUUUUUAGUGCUACCUGUUGCUUUCCUAGAUUCCUGCUUUAUUGUUUGGAUUUUCUCCUCUCUAUCAAAAACUUUGGAGAAGCUUCAGGUAAUUAUCUUCUUUCAACCUGACCUAAAUGUUUCAAAAGUUAAUGCAUCUACUGAUUUGAUGUCUGAUAAAUGAAGUUUGGAAAUGUGAGAUAUAGGUUAGUGGGUUUAUCCUUUUGUCCUUGUUCAUUGAUCUUCAUCUAGCACUUUGAAAUUGUCUUAUUUUUAACAUAACUUUUGCCCCCUUUGCCUGGUGGGUACAGAUGAGGAGGAACAUGGCUAAACUAGAUCUCUACCGAAAAUUUACCAAUUCUCUUGCAGUGUUUGUUCUGCUCUCCAUAGCUUGGAUUGGCUUUGAGGUGAUACUUAUGUUCUUAUUACAGAUCACCAAUGAGUUUAUCGAUAAUUAACAUUUUCUGAAUUCAGGAUGUGCAUUAACAGCUGAAAUUGAUAGGUAUAUAUUUCAUUAUUCUUCUAUUCAAAAGAAUACUCAUCCUCCUGGACCUCCUCUGGUUUUUGUUUUCUUAGCUCUACUUCAAUGCAACUGACCCGCUAAGUGAGCUAUGGCAAGUAGCCUGGAUCAUUCCUGCUUUCUGGACUCUGCUUGCAUAUUCUCUCUUGGUGGUGAUAUGUGUCCUAUGGGCUCCUUCACCCAACCCAACUAGGUACUUUCUUUGACAAAACCUUCUCCUUUUGCUUCUACUUUUUGUCUCUUUUAAGUUCGUGCAAGACCUCAACUCUUUCUCAUUAAUCAUGGAAAUGCCAGGAUUAUGAUACGUUUUCUAGAUCAUAAUUGAGAUCAAAGUCAAACUGCUUCAAAUCUAAUAUCUCAUUACGGGUUUUUUUUUUUUUUUUUGAAAACAGUAAUGGAAUGAAUUCCUUUAUAACGUUUGAAGCUUGAGUCAUCUCCUUCUAAUGGAGUAAUUAGAGAAUUUCAUAGGACUAUUGGAAGCAACAAUGACAAUUUACCUCAGGUUACAACUUAAAGAUCUCAGUCCCAACACCAAUGAAGUUGGGAGAAGGGAUUUAUUGGGAUGGGGAGCGACCUGCCCCCCUCCCCCACAAAUGCAGUUUUCAAAUAGUCAGUAGACUUCCUUGUGGUUCAAGAAAAGAAUGAGAAACAUACUUGCAUAUGAAGGCCAAAAUUUAAAAUCAUGUAGUUUAAUGAUCUUGUAACUAAUAUUCACAUUAAUCAGAGUAUUUUCUUCAAAAUGAAACCACACUGGCAAGCCGAUGCAGAAUUAUGAUUUGUGUUUUUCAUUUCAGUGAUAUAUAUCUUUACUUGCUUCUUACAAGCUGGUGUUUUCUUGUAUUCUUUUUCAUUUUAUGUGGUUGUUAUAACAAUACAGGACCUACAUUUCUGCAUUUAAAUAAAGUUUCAUAGCUUUCAUCUUGAUAAAACAUGAAAGCAUAUUUGGCUUGAUAGUAUUGUUGCUUGAGGUGCCUAUUAGGAUGAAAUCUAUCAUCUAAGUUUGUGAGGUGGGUUUUAGAAAAUAUGACUUGUGAAGUAGUGAAUCAUCCCUUUUGUAUGGAAAUUAACUGUGAGAAACUGCAUCGUUUAAAGAAAAUCGGCUCUGCUCUUUUUAUGGAAGUUUUCUGUUGAUGUCAAGUUCUAUUUAUUUGGUGUGUUCAAGCCCAAUUCAGAAGGGCCAGAUUCUAGAAUCUGCUUCACCACCAGCUGCGUUUCUGUAAAUAUCUUAGCUGUUAUAACGGUAUUAGAGAAGAGAACAGUAACUUUUCAUUCAUUCUAGAUUAUUCACACAAGCUGUAUAUAAACACACAUGUAGUCAAUAUAUUUUUCAUCUUAUUCUCCUCUAUACUAGUCUUGUUAUUUUCAUUAACAAUGGAGGAAUUCCUUUAGAAUCAUUUUAUGAGACAAACUGUUUGUCGACUUUUUUAUAUUUUUUAGUUAGAACACUUACUGAGCUCAAAUGGCAACAAUCACACCCUGUCCAUGUCCUUCCAAUGGUGGAAGCAAAAAGAAGCAACAAAGUAAUUUUCAAAAUAACAGCUAGUAACUGCUUGUGGACUUGUAGGUAUGCAUAUUUAGAGGAGGCAGGCGAAGACUUCGACGAGGAGGGUAUCUCGUUAACGAGCAGUGUGGAUAUGACGACUAAGCUAGAACGGAAAGGGCUGGGAGAAGAUCUUGAGGAGGAUAAGCGAGAGUAGAUGAAUAUCACACAGCACAAAGGUGAAUUCCCUGCUAAAGCUACAGUUGUAUAUCCAGGAAUUUCACUCUAAAAUGUGAUGAGCAAUUUGUGUUGUAUGUACAAAACCUUGUGAAAUUGGAAGUUGCAAGAUAGAAGAGUUUGAUGUGACUUAAAGAUUACAGCUAACUCCUGAGGAAUGAAACAAUAAGAACAAUUUAGUUUUAGGCAUUAAUCCCAAACUAGUUGGCUCAGCUACGUGGAUACAUUUUCGGCUCUGUUAAACUCUGAAACAAACCAAAAACAAGUUGUACUUCUAUUCUUAUGGUUGAUGCCUUGUUUGGAGGUGUCUGCAGAUUUUUUUUUUUUUCUUUUUCUUUUUCUCUCGAAGGUCACAGAAAAUCCAUUAAAAUUCUCAAGGCUUAUAGAAAAACAUAGAAGGCUUAAAGGAAAGAAGCUAUUAAGGCUCUAACAUAUACAAAAUAAAAGAACCAGACCUACAAGUCUAAGCUUACAAUAAGGAAUUGUAAGCUCCAGGUCCAUAAGUCCAAGUCCACAAGAAGGAAGUGCUAAACUGAGUAGAGAAGACUUCCGGUUUGAUUUGGUUAGACAAAAAAAAAACAGUUCAGAAAAUUGGUUUUAUACUUUUAUUUGAAUGAAGAAAAAACAUAAAUUAAAAUUAUGAAAUAAAUAAAUGAGUUGACAAAUUAUUUAUUUUAUUAUUAUUAUUUAUGUCAUGAGUUAUGAAAGGAAGUCCAAUCCACGGGACUCCCGUUCCGUCAGCAGUCUCCUUUUGCGUGCGAAUAAUAGUUUAUACAAGGAAACUCAACUCAGAUAUUCUAUUGCAGACGGAUAUAAUCUCUAUGAAUCAAGCUCAGUGCUCUUCCAAGAUAACUCAAGUCUCUUCACACAUAAUUGAAUUUUUUUUUUCUUUACUGAUCUGAUUCUCCAAAAGAAAAAAUCUUCCAACCCUUUCAGUUCUUAUCCUUUGCUUCUCUAGCAAAAGAUCUUUGUUGAUAGAGAUAGCGACUGAGAGGUGUUUUCGCCUGUAAUUUUGAAUUUUGAUAGAUUAUAUUCAUUCCACUUUUCUAAAAUCCGCCUUUAAAUAUGAAAUCUUCCUGAAAAAUUGCUUCUAUAAUUUAUUUAUUCCAAGUAUAAUUCUGAAAUGUGCAUUUAAUUUUAGGCAAUAGAUUUGGCUUCUUGUUUGUUUGUGCUUGUACAACUUGUGCAAAAGGGAAUGGCAUUAAAAUUUUUAAUAAUUUGGUUGCUUUGAGUAAUGGGCAUUUGUUGAUUUUUCCUUGGUUAAUUACUUGAGAAAAGAAUACGAGUCACCACCACCAUCAUCAUGGAGGUAGUCCAUACGACGAUCCCUUCUUGUCGUGUUGUUGCCGCCCUUGCUUGCUUGUAUCUCCAUUUUCGGCGGGGUUGGGAGAUGCAUAUAUGCAGCUUGAUAUCCUCUCUUGCGGUGCUUUGGAUAGAAAGAGUUCCGACUAAAGAAAUUUUAUCAGAAUGAAAAUUUAUUUUAUUUUUAAUAUGAGUAUAGUAUAAAUAAAUACAAGAGAGUUUAUACAAAUAUUUCAAUCAAUAUAAAGUUAACAGAGUUAUAAUAGAAGAUAAAUUCAAGUGGUUGAUUUUGAUUAUGAUUCCAAAAUCGAAUCAACAUUAUCUCUAGUAGAGUUAUAACAGAAGAUGAAUUCAAGUGAUUGAUUUUGAUUAUGAUUCCAAAAUCGAACCAAUAUUAUCUCUAAUACUCCUCUGCAAGAUUGAGGAUCCAUCAUAGAAAUCAAUCUUAAACCUGUUAAUAUGAAACUUUACAUUUGUUAAAGGUUUUGUCAAUAAAUCAGCUAAUUGAUUAUUGGACAAAAUAUGGGAAAUACGAAGAGUUUCUUAUUGAACCAAAUCACGAACAAAGUGAAUAACUAUUUCAAGAUGUUUAAUCUUGGAAUGAAAAACAAGAUUCUAAUACGUAUAUAUCGUAGAUAUGUUAUCACAGUAGAUGAUCGACGAUGGUACCUUAUAGCCGAGUUUAGUUAGUAAGGACUUAACCCAUUGAACUUCAACUACUGUUGAAGCUAUUACCUUAUAUUCAGCUUUUGUAUUGGACCAAGCAACUGUUCGUUGCUUUUUAGAACUCCAACUUAUCGGUAUUUUGCUGAGUUGAAGUUCUAUUCGAAGGAUCUCCUACCUCAUCUGCAUUUGAAAAGGCAUGAAAAGCAAGUUUUAAUUGAGAGGUGAUAGUAAUACCGGAAUCAAUAGUGGACUUGAGGUAUCGGAGCAGCUGUUUCAAGGUUAGCCGGUGCAACUGAUUCGGAUGUUGCAUAAAAUGUGAUAACUUAUUAACCGUAAAAGUAAUAUUCGGUCUAGUAAGACUAAAAUACUGUAAUCCUCAAAUUAAUUUCUGAUAAGUAGUAAGAUCCACAACAGAAAAUCUAGAAACUGAUUUCCUUAAGUUGCUAUCUACGACAAUUAGAGUAGACACUGCUUUAGCCCCAUCCAUAUUACCUAUUUCUAGAAGCUUUCGGAUAUAAUGAUGUUGUGAAAGAAAUAGACCAUUUGUCAUUUGAUGAACAUCCACACCAAGAAACAAUGACAGGGUCUAAGGGUCUUUCAACGAAAACUUAUUUCUUAGAGCUUGAACAAACCAAAUUACAAACGAUGAAUCAUUCCCUAUUAUAAUGAGAUUAUCUACAUACACAACAAAAUAACAACAAAUAUUUCAUUUUCGAUUAAAAAAAAAAAAAAGGAAUGAUCACAUUAAGAUAACUGAAAUCCAUAUUGUAUAAUGAAAGACCAAAGAGCUUAAUACCAUGCUCUAGGUGCCUGCUUCAAGCCAUAAAGAGUCUUAAGAAACUUACACACAUGAUGAGACUUUGAAGGAUUUUUAUAUCUAGGCAGUUGUUGCAUAAAGACCUCCUCCUGCAAAGGACCAUGUAGAAAUGCAUUGUUAAUGUCAAGCUAUAUUAAUGGCCAAGAAUUUGAAACUGCCAAGAUUAGCACUAUUCAAAUUAUAACUGGUUUCACUACUGGGCUGAAUGUCUUAUUGUAAUCAAGUCCUGGCCUUUGAUUAUAUCCAUGAGCUAUCAAUCUGGCCUUAUAUUAUUGUAUAGAGCCAUCCGCAUUUCUUUUAACCCUGUAAAUCCACUUACAACCAACCAGAUUAUGAUGAGACUCAGAUAAAACAAGAAUCCAAGUUUUAUUAUCAAGCAAGGUAUUAAAUUCAUUCGACAUAGCAUUACGCCACUCAGGAACAGCUAAAGUCUAUUUGACUGUUGUUGGUUCUGGUAUUUCAAGUAAUGGGUGUUUGGAGACAUGAUUUAAAAUUUUGAGUUUUCGAAUAUUGUUCUUUGAACGUAUAAUCAUGGGAUGAUUAUUCACGGUUGGGAGAACGAUAUUCGGCAAUGGAGGUGUAACGACCCGGAAACAGGACCGCUACCGGCGCUAGGAUCCAGAUCGGCAUAAGGCCGCUGGGACCCGUAGCAAGCCUGACUUACAUCCUGUAUACCUGUUAAAUCCCAUACAUGAUCAAACAUAUGCAUAAAAAUUUUGAACUUUCUCAUUCAUUCACAAAGCUUAAUAUGUGCAUACACAACUCAUAACCAAAAACAUUAAACCCCACACUGGAGCCCUCAUCAAAUGCUCCAAUGGGGUAACAUAUCAUACAUUAAGCUUGGUUUACAUAAACAUAAAUAAAACAUUUCAUUAAUAAGAUCAUGUAUCAAAAAGGGAUUAACCAACAUACUAGGGUCAAGCACAACUCUAAACUCAAUAUAACUCUUAACAUUACAUUUCAGUACUAUACUUUACAUUAUAUCAUUCUCAUGUCCACAUCUAGCUAUUACAUAAAACAUAACUUUACUCUUGGUGGCUUCCUGAUCUAUCCCGUACCUGCAAACCUGGGGGUGAUGGGAACGGGGUGAGCUACUAGAGCCCAGUGAGCAGAAUAAUAAAACAUUAUAUUUAAAAUUCAUGCUUUCAUGGAAUGCAUCACAUCACAAACAAAUCACAUCAAGGAUGGACUUGUCACCAUUUAGCCCUCUACACAAUCCAAUCAUGCCAGGGGCGUAGUGCAGGCCACACCUGGUCUUUCUCUUACACAUAACAUAUCAUACAUAUCCAAUCGUGUCGGGGGCGUAGUGCAGACCACACCCGGACUUUCUCUUACAGUGUGCUAGGGGCGUAGUGCAGGCCACACCUGGACUUCCAUAUCAUAUCAUAACAUACAAGGGCUAAUGGAUCAUUCAAUACCCAUCCACAUCAACAUCAAGAUAUGCAAUGCAACAUAUUCGUGAAUUCUAAUGCAAACAACCUAAUAUAUCUCAUGGCAUUUGUGAUGCAUGAACAUGCUCGAAACUGAUUUAUUUACUUUGAAACAUAAGAGUUAUUCUACUCACCUUAGGCUAGCUCUGAAAAGACUCGGAAGCAGCUAUCUCACUGCUGGGGUCCUCGGUUCCUCGGGUCUGAACCUACACAGGUGGACUCAAAUGAGGGACCAAACAUACAAGAACAUGACUCUAAAAUACUCCCCAAAAACCCCCUAAAACACCUUAAAACAAUCAUAGAAAUCAUGCAAAGGAAGGCUGAACAGGGCACUUUCGGCGGCAGGUUCGGCAGCCGAAAGUCCCUCCAGAGCCGAAAGUCAUGCACCUUCGGCAGCACUUUCGGCGGCCGAAGGUUCCUUCCAGAUCAGAAACUCAUGCAUGUUCGGCGGCACCUUCGGCGGCCGAAACUCCCUUCCAGAGCCGAAAGUCCACUUUCGGAGGCAGGGUUCUGCAGCCAAAGGCUUGCCUCCACAGGCAAGUUCGGCGGCCGAAAGUCUCUUUGGCUAUCGAACCUGAGUUCUUCCAAAUGGCAGAACUCAGCCUCCACAUGCACAUUUUGCCUCCCAAACCAUUCAAACAUGUAUUUACCUAUUCUACAACAAGCAUUCACAAGCAAAUAAGCAUUUAGUGUCUCAAACUAUCCUAAACCCCAACACACACACAAAAGGCAACUCAAACAACAUACAUUACUUAUAAACUCAACAUUAACCCUAACAUGCAAUCAACUAACUUACACAUGCAUUUCUACCCUAUAAACUUCAUAAAACUUGUUUAAAAUAUGAAAUGAGCUAAGGAUCUACUCUUACCUUUUGAAGACCGAGAGGAAAGAGGAUCCUAACUUGGAGAUGGGAGAAAUCUAGCUCCUUGGACCUCCAAGCUCCAAAACUUGCUCUAAGCUUCAAAAAUCUUCAAAACCAAGUGAAAACUUGUUAAAACUCGAAAGAUUUGAGGAAGAACACCAAAAUCGACCAAGGGAGGGCAUGGACUCACCGUUGGCCGAAAAUAGGGGAGAAAGCUCACCUAUUUUCGGCCAUGGGUCCUCUUAUAGGUGGCAAGCCAGGCCACCUUCGGAAGCCGAAGGCAACUCCAAAACGCAUGCAUGUUCGACGGCCGAACAUGAGCCACAUUCGGAAGCCUAACGUGCCCCCCUAAACUAUCCCACGUUCAGCGGCCGAACCUGGAAAUGCCUCCAUGGUCCUUUUCAUUCAAAACUCAGUUUCUUUCUUACUUAAAAUCAUAUAAUACAUGAAAACAUUUUACAAAAACAUGAUUUUACCUUACUAGAGGUUUCCGACAUCCGAGAUCCCACCGGAUGGUAGGAAUUCCGAUACCGAAGUCUAGCCGGGUAUUACAGGAGGAGUAACAGUCUCGAUUGAAGAAGAAGUGGAAUUCGAUGAGGGCUGCGAAAGAGAUGAGGUUAGUUGAUCAUUUGUUGACACGGUGGUCUGUAAGUCAGUAGUAACAGUAGGAGAGAGAGACGAAACUAUCGUGGGUGUAAACGGAAUAUUCGUUGAAAUAGAAUAAGAAAAUGGAACAUUAUACCAAUAUGAUGAAGAUAAGGACUCUGGAGAUUGUUGAGUUGGAAAAGGAAAAAUUUUCUCUAAAAAUAAAACAUGAUGGGACUCAAUAUACCUAUUUUGACUAAUAUUAUACCAAAUGUAUACACUUUUGUUUG